rnacentral:lncRNA from 1 species
UCAAAUUUCAAAAGGUCUGACAUAGGACAAAUCUAGAACUUCAAGUUACAGAAGUUUUUAAUCUGAGAAGUGUAUAACUUCAUAGCCGAAAAUGCUUUGUCGAUGAGCUCCGGAAGAUCUUUUCCAGACCAGUUUAUUCCAAAAAGAUUUGGCAGCUAAUCAGAGUAAAAACACUUCAUUUCCAGGCACUGUUCCAAAGCAGGAAAGCCAUACAAGAUCUCUACAAUACAUCUGCGGUACACAGUCCAGCUGCAAAAUACAAUGAACAGGUUCCUCAUGUAAACAUGACGGUUGUACCAGAAUUACAGCCACAGGGAAAGCAAAACGGAUAUCCAGACAAGCAAACAAGCGCCACCUUGCGGAAGAGCUACCCCUUGAGAUGAAACUAGUCAUCAUCCUUGUAGGGGUAUUCCUCUGGGACUUGCUUGGUGAGCUUCACCCGCAUCUCGUAGGCAUCAUCCCCGCGAAGCAUAUCACGGACCCAUGUAACCUCCGUCUUCAUGGAAACCUGCACCGCAACAUCAAUUAAACUUGAUCAGCGAAUGGUAAAUGACUUCUGAAACUGGUACAAUCACAGCACUGGGAUCACAAUUCUAUAAAUAUCACAAGCUGGUAAUAGACUGUUUCACUUGAAACACUUCCAACUAGCAGAAGUUGGAACACAAGUUCAUAAUACUUCAUACUGCAGAAGUUGGCCACUGGUGGUACCAUGCAACAGUGGAUUAAAGACAUUAAGCAUGAUAUGCCUUAAGAUAUGGAUAUCAAAAACAUGCAAUUCUCAAGUGGAAAUGCAUACAGAAUUAUGCAAGUUGAUUUAGCCUUUCAAUAUCAGUUUCACAGAAUAGAAUAGCAUGAGGUCACAGAUCCCAGAUCCAUUGUAUAGAUAAUUUAUUCUUAGACUGUUUGACAAGAGAAAAGUACAAAGAUAGCAGCAAAAGAAGACGUACCAUUUCCAGUGCUCCCCUGAUAACUCCACUCAACACAUUGCAAUACUGAAGACCUUGGCAAGUAUCAGGAAGCUCAACAAAAUCUACAAGUGGGUUGUCCUCCAAUACAAAGCUGCAAGUUGUACCCUCAGCAUCCCAAUUGGUUACAGUUGCAGUCACGCCCAGGAACAUUUUGAACCCAAGCUGGUUUGAAAAGGAAAAAAGGAAUAUUGUCAGAGCAUAAAGCCAUAAGGAGGAUAAGCAGAAGGGGGAACCAGCUAGGGGAUGAGUUUGAUUGUUCUAAGAAGCAAACAAGUGUCGAAGAACUUGAAAAUAUGGUAGUAAGCCUUGGGCCUUCGAUUAAUGAACAAGUUGAGGUGUAUAAAAAGAAAUGAGCUUAAUGUACUACAUAAAGAAUUUGCAGAAGAAAGAGAGGGCAUGGAAUGUCCCUGAAUGGUGCAUAGCUACUGUAGCAGUAAAGAAUGCUAUCACCGGACAAACAUAGCUGAGUGUCUGCAUCUCAUAAAAUUGAAACCACUGUUAUACAGUGGUAAAAACUGCUACACUGUCGACUUCUGUUGAAUAAAUGACUAAAUAAACAUAUGUAUUCCCUUCCUGGCCUCUCAAAACAUUCUGUCUCACAAGUCUAGGAAUAUGAAUACAGGUAAAAAAAACUUCAAAAUAUGCAUGCAUUAUUUUUGUGCUAAUCUCAACCAAAGAAUAGCAAGUUUAGCAAAUGACCUUUGCUAUAGUAUCAGCAGUCUCCUUGAAGUCAGCACAGUUUGAUACAUUUGACUUGGCUAAGAAUUCAUCAACCAACCGAGUUCCAAUAUUGUAACCCCUGAAAAUUAAAGAAGAUAUAACAUGUAAGAAAGGUUUCCCAAGCAAAGUUAAAAUACAGCAAUCGUAUUAAUAGCUGCCAGCAAGCCUGAGAAUUAAUCCAAUAAAUAAGCUAUAAACCAGCAACCAUAGUAGGAGACACAUUGAGCGUUCAUAUGUGAUUCACUUCCGAAGCAGAAGCUAAAAUAGAGCAAACAUAGCAAUAACUGCCAGGAAGCCUUGAGAGUCAAUUCACCACAUAAGCUAUAAACUAGCAACCAUAGUAGGAAACAUAUUAAUAAUUCAUAUGUGAUUCACUUUCAUGUCCCGCCGUGGCGCCGUCCCGCUUUCCUCUACAAAUGAUGCAUGACUAUAAUUCCUAAAUGUGCUAGAUCCAUGCUCCUCGAUUCAGUUCAAAAGAGGAACAAGUUUGGAGUGCUGGAGUCAUUGCAAUUGGACAUAUCUCCUUCUCCCCAUUGAACAAUGGAACGUAGAUGAUGUGCUGCCACACCAACAAUGACAACACCAGGAGUUGCAUAUAAUCCGGGCUGUAUAAAUCUAUUCAAUCGAGAAGAUGAUACAACAUCACCAAAAUAACACAAUCUUCUGUUCACACACAGACUACACAAACAUUAAAUCAAUUAGGGUGAGAGUGAGAAGUGCAUCGCUGCAUCUAUUUGGAUUCCCAUUCUCGGGAUAUUGCAGCUAGCUCACUGUUAAACCCUCACACGUGAUCCCUAGGUAAAAUUCCCAGAUUCCUACUUCUAGAUCUGAUCCCUCAAAUGGACACCAUCACAUCAGCAGUUUCCCAAUUUGCCUACAAACUUAGGCAGAUGAAGUAAGAAAACGGGCGUACAUCUGAUCGAGCUGCUUGUUGACCUCCUCGACCUCUUCGAGAUCCGUGAGCAGCUGCCGCACGAUGGCGCCNNNNNNNNNNNNNNNNNNNNNNNNNNNNNNNNNNNNNNNNNNNNNNNNNNNNNNNNNNNNNNNNNNNNNNNNNNNNNNNNNNNNNNNNNNNNNNNNNNNNNNNNNNNNNNNNNNNNNNNNNNNNNNNNNNNNNNNNNNNNNNNNNNNNNNNNNNNNNNNNNNNNNNNNNNNNNNNNNNNNNNNNNNNNNNNNNNNNNNNNNNNNNNNNNNNNNNNNNNNNNNNNNNNNNNNNNNNNNNNNNNNNNNNNNNNNNNNNNNNNNNNCGGCAUCGCCGAGAUCGGGGCCGGUGGCGGGCGAGAGAGAUCAGAGGAGAGAACCACUUGCAGAGUCACCGGUCUCGAGUAGUUGGGUUAUAGGCCAGUUUGGGCUUAUACUUUUUUGUUUUGCGGUGAAAGUUUGGGCUUGGGCUUGCCAACUGUAUAGUCCAUUGGCCCCUAAAAGAGUAGAACGGCCCAUUCUUUCCCACUAAAAAGAUAAACUAGAGGUUCCCCUUUUAAAGCAACAAUGAUCUUUCCCUUAUUAGAAAAAACAAUGAGGUUUUGUGGAAUAUAAGCAAAGAUAUGCGGAUAGAGGGAACUAAAACUAGCAAACAAUAAAUUUCCCCAGAUAAAACCAAAAGUUACCUCAAUACCUCUCUUAUCGUUAUGUCUAGUUUCAUCUUCCGCGCACUGAUGUCCCACAAGCUUCUAGUGAGAAACUCGUAUGACCAAAUCUAUCUACAAAAGAUGCAUGAACUUCAAAGGCAUUGAAGUGACAUAUGAAUCUUGGCCGGUCAAGAAUUUGGUCGCUUUGGUUUUUUUUUUCCUUCCCUACGCAUAGUUUUGAUUUUAUAUGACUUCGGGUCAAUGAUGAACUUGGCCUUAGAAUACUUCUUCCUGAUGUUUUGCUUAAUGGUUCUCUACCCCUGGUGGAUGAUCGGUGAGCUUUGAUGAUGCAUGCCAGUGGUGGAGGCCAAGGCGAGGUAUUCAUGGGGGGGCAAGAAAGGCAAUAUCUUGACUUGAAUCCACAUGUCCUCAUGUCCUUCCUGACCAUCAUCUGGCGAAAUCUAUGUAUCUCCUUGUGAAUUCCAUUUCAAUUCUCUACAAAUAUCCAAGGGAAUCUGGGACUUCUCGGAAUCUAGAAAAUCUGCGAGCAUAUCCAUGAACCUCGAUGACACCGGAGAGGAACAAUAUGUCCGAUAGAGCGAAAUUAUGCCGCUCUGAUCCCACGAGGUUGACUGACACAACUUGCCUAACACUCCUUGCAUGUGGAGGAUUCCCUGAUGCAUCCACCAUUGGCCAAGUGGCAAGCCCAAGAAUGCACAACCAACGAUACCGUGCUCAUGAAAUCGCUGCCUGCUCUUUCUCAACCACACCGUUGCUAAACUGAUGCUCACAUCAUAAGACUCAACUCCAAGGCAAUGCUUCCAACGAAGUAAUGAACCAAGGGGAACCACCGUUACACAUGGUUUUUAGCGAGAGAGAUGUCGGAUCUGAUGGAAAUAUGCCCUAGAGGCAAUAAUAAAAUGGUUAUUAUUAUAUUUCAUUAAUCAUGAUAAAGGUUUAUUAUUCAUGCUAGAAUUGUAUUGACCGAAAACUUAAAUACAUGUAUGGAUACAUAAACAAAUAUCGUGUCCCUAGUGAGCCUCUACUAGAUUAGCUCGUUGGUCAAAGAUGGUUAAGGUUUCCUAACCAUAGACAUGAGUUGUCAUUUGAUAAAGAGAUCGCAUCAUUAGGAGAAGACCCAACUAAGACCCAACCGUUAUCGACAAGACCCAACCGUUAUCAUAGCAUAUGAUCGUUCAGUUUAUUGCUACUGCUUUCUUAAUGUCAAAUACAUGUUUCUUCAACCAUGAGAUCAUGCAACUCCCGGACUCCGGAGGAAUGCAUUAUGUGCCAUCAAACGUCACAACGUAACUGGGUGAUCAUAAAGGUGCUCUGCAGGUAUCUCUGAAGGUGUCUGUUGAGUUGGCAUAGAUCGAGACUGGGAUUUGUCACUCCGUAUGACAGAGGGGUAUCUCUGGGCCCUCUCGGUAAUACAACAUCACAAGAAGCUUGCAAGCAAAGUGACUAAGGAGUUAGUUACGGGAUGAUGUAUUACGGAACGAGUAAAGAGACUUGCCAGUAACGAGAUUGAACUAGGUAUGGAGAUACUGAUGAUCGAAUCUCGGGCAAGUAACAUACCGACAAACAAAGGGAACUGCGUAUGUUGUCAUAAAGGUUCGACCAAUAAAGAUCUUCAUGAAAUAUGUAGGAACCAAUAUGGGCAUCCAGGUCCCACUAUUGGUUAUUGACCGGAGAAGCGUCUCGGUCAUGUCUACAUCAUUCUUGAACACGUAGGGUCCGCACGCUUAACGUUCAUUGAUGAUAUAGUAUUAUAUGAGUUAUGUAUGCUGGUGACCUAAUGUUGUUCGGAGUCUCGGAUGAGAUCACGGACAUGACGAGGAGCUCUGGAAUGGUCUGGAGGUAAAGAUUGAUAUAUAGGAUGAUAUGGUUAGGCCAAGGGGUAAGGCCCAUAGGGCUUUAGGUCGGUGCGGAAGGAUGUUUUGCAGAGGUCAGGACCUAACGCCGAGGCCCAUGGCGUAUGGGCCAGAUGCCGAGGACUGUGCCGUCUGCUCCUGGAAGUCUGAGAAGGACUCUUCCUUGCGGGCAAAACCGACUUUGAGGAGGCUCUUUCUCCAAGUUUCGACCCAAGGGCUCAACAUAUAAAUAGAGGGGCAGGGCUAGCACCCGGAACACAUCAAGAUACACCAAGCAGUGUGCCGGCAACCCCAUCCCUUUAGUUUAUCCUCCGUCAUAGUUUCCGUUCUGCUUGGAGAAGCCCUGCGGAGAUUGUUCUUCACCACCACCGUCACCACACCGUCGUGCUGCAGAACUCAUCUACUACUUCGCUCCUCUUGCUGGAUCAAGAAGGCGAGGACGUCAUCGAGCUGAACGUGUGCUGAACGCGGAGGUGUUGCACGUUUGUUACUUGAUCGGGACGGGUCGUGAAGGUGUACGACUACAUCAACUGCGUUGAUAAACGCUUCCGUUUAGCGAUCUUCAAGGGUAUGAAGAUGCUCCCCACCUCUCGUAGCUAUGCAUCUCCAUGGAUAGAUCUUGCGUGUGCGUAGAAAUCUUUUGUUUUCCAUGCAACGUUCCCCAACAGGAUCCACUCGACGGUGCCUCCAGCAAGGAAAGCCACACCCUAAGGCGUCCUUCACCACUAUAUCCUCGACCAAAGUCGGGCAAGACUUCCGUUUGGAGAACCAAGCAUCUAUGCUAGAGACGACGUCCCAAACACACCACCAGCAAACCGAAGCCAACACAAGGCAUGCACAACACCACGUAGCACUAGGCAAGAGCACCACUGAUGAUGCAAACCCAGGAGCAAGCUCCAUACUAGCACCAUCGCAGACCAUCACCCUUCCAGGAGUCCACACACAUCUAGCUUGUAGCCCAAUCACUAGCCGAGUCUUUGUAGGAUCGAACGUAUGUCUAGAGGGGGGGUGAUUAGACUACUUGACCAAAUAAAAAUCUAGCCUUUUCCCAAUUUUAAGUCUUGGCAGAUUUUAGCAACUUAGCACAAGUCAAGAAAUCAACCUACACAUGAAAUUCUAAGAGUAUAGCAACGGAAUGUAAAUCAUUGCAUAUGAAGGUAAAGGGGAGGAGUUUGUAGGGAGCAAACGCAAUAUUGACAAGGAGAUUUUUGGCGUGGUUCUGAUAGGUGGUGCUAUCGUACAUCCACGUUGAUGGAGACUUCAACCCACGAAGGGUAACGGCUACGCGAGUCCAUGCAGGGCUCCACCCACGAAGGCUCCACGAAGAAGCAACCUUGUUUAUCCCACCAUGGCCAUCGCCCAUGAAGGACUUGCCUCACUAGGGUAGAUCUUCACGAAGUAGGCGAUCUCCUUGCCCGUACAAACUCCUUGGUUCAACUCCACAAUCUUGGCAGAGGCUUCCAAGUGACACCUAACCAAUCUAGGAGACACCACUCUCCAAAAGAUAAUAGAUGGUGUGUUGAUGAUGAACUCCUUGCUCUUGUGCUUCAAAUGAUAGUCUCCCCAACACUCAACUCUCUCUCAUAGGAUUGGAUUUGGUGGAAAGAUGAUUUGAGUGGAAAGCAACUUGGGGAAGGCUAGAGAUCAAGAUUUAUGUGGUUGGAAUGGAAUAUCUUGGCCUCAACACAUGAGUAGGUGGUUCUCUCUCAGAAAAUGAUUAUUGGAAGUGUAGGUAUGUUCAGAUGGCUCUCCUUAUGAAUGAAGAGAGGGUGGAGGGGUAUAUAUAGCCUCCACACAAAAUCUAACCAUUACACACAAUUUACCAAACUUGGUGAGACCGAAUAAGAAAACUCGGUCAGACCAAUUUAGUUCAUAAUGCGACCGUUAGGCAUUUCGGUGGGACCGACAUGUCAACUCGGUGGGACCAAUUUUGUUAGAGUUAGGGCAUAACAUAAUCUCGGUGAGACCGAUUACACAAACUCGGUGGGACCGACUUUGGUAAUAAGAUAACCAGAGAGUUGGUCAGGCAAACUCGAUGGGACCGAUUCGCUCACCUCGGUGAGACUGAAACGUUAUGAAAGGGAAACAGAGAGUUUGCAUUGUGAACUCGGUGGGACCGGUCGCUCAUUUCGGUUAGACCGAAAGCUUAUGAUUGGAAAUAGAGAGUUUGCAAUUCCAUACCGGUGAGAUCGAGAUCCCUAUCGGUGAGACUGAAGUGACUAGGGUUUCUGGCAGUGGCUAUGUCAAAUGAACUCGGUGGCGCCGGAUAGAUCAAAUCGGCGGGGCCGAGUUUGACUUUUUGUUUGGGACAUAUGUGGAUAUGAGAAAGUGGUUGAGAGUUUUUAAAGCAUAUCACUAAGCAUUUUGAGCAAGCAUGCCAUUAAGCAACACCUCAUCCCCUUUUAAUAGUAUUGGCUUUUCCUAUGGACUCAACGUGAUCUUGGAUCACUAAAAGUAAAAUGUAGAGUCUUGAGCUUUAGAGCUUGAGCCAAUCCUUUAUCCUUAGCAUUUUGAGGGGUCCACAUUCCUAAUCCAUGCCAUGCCAAUCAUUGAAAUUUCCUGAAAUAUUCAUCUUGAAAUAGCAUUAGUUCAAUGAGCUAUAUGUUGUUAAUCAUUACCAAAACCACCCAGGAAUAGUUGCACUUUCAAUCUCCCCUUUUUUGGUAAUUGAUGACAACAUAUAGAUCAAAGCUUCGACAAAUGAUAAUAAGAUUGAAAUACAUCAUCGCUUUGAGAAGUAUGUGAUAAGCAAGAGCUCCCCCUAAAUUUUUGCAUUAUUUAAGAUUUGCUUUUGAAUGCAAAUGCACAAUCGAUUAGUAUCAUGGGUUACUCUUCCAUGUCACAUACAUCUUGGUGGAGCACUCAAAAUCAUAGCAUUAAAAGCAUGCACUCAUCACCAAGCAAAGUGAAUGAUCAUAUAUGGAUAUAAGAGAUAAUAUCAUCCAACCACACAUUAAAGUAGCAUAUGAUCAAACACAUGAUCAUUCAGGUAUCUCACACAAGGACAUAAGGUAUCAAACAAGCACACAAUAAAGUUCAACCAAAUAAAGUGCAAGAGAGACAAAAAGAAACACACUCUCUCUCUCUCUCGAUGUCUAUGAUCUAUACAUAUUUCUCUCCCUUUGGCAAUAAGUUACCAAAAAGUUCAAAUAUGCAUAGUGAUAUGCAUCUCUCAGGCUUGGUCUUCAUGAGGUGGUGUAGAGAUGACUCCAAGGACGAAGGCUUCUGUCGAUGUAGCUGGAGCUGGUGGAGUGGCUGCUGGAGGUGGCACUGAAGUUGUAGCUGCUGGUGCUGAUGUAGUAGCUCUAGUAUCAGGUACUAGCACCGCAACUGACCUCUGACCUCUUGGCACUCGCUGAAAAGCUUCUGUAGUUGUCUUCCCUUUCUUCUCCUCUGCUUCCUCCUGGAGCUGCUCAACUACUGUUUAUAUCUCAGUUACUUUCAGAUCAAGAUCAUAGAAUUUUUGUUCAAUGAUCCUCUCCAAGCUCUCCUGAUUCUGAGUCGGGGUGGCCAAGCCCUUCUCAAUCCUCAAAGUAGAUUGGAUCAGAUAUCCAAGUUGAUCUUGUUUGCUCUUCAAGAACAUUUGAGAUGCCUCUUCGAUAGUUGGCGUCCUUGCAGCUUAUUCUGCCUUUGCCUUAGAUCUCUUCUCUUGUGAUUGCACUGAUGAAGGUUCAUUCUCAUCCAUUACAAUUGUGUUGUCUUCAAAAUCUGGCUUGAGAGGUAAAUGCUCCUUGUCCAACAAGUAAGUGCAUGUGCCCAUCUUUGAGUUGAUGAGCACCUGAAUGUGUGGAGCAUACCCACAAGACCUUUUCUAGUCAGCAGCUGUCCUCUUGAUUGUCUCUACAAUCAGACUCAUGACCUUGAAAUUUUGAGGGACAUCAAAAAUGUGCAGUAAGUUGAUUGAAUGCCCUCUUAUCAUCCUAUGAUCUCCAGAUUUGGGCAACAGAGUAUGCCUUAAGAUGGUGUUGAUAGUAGGCAGACCAGACAACAAGUAUUUCACUGAGCCCAACUUAUGAGUUCCCAGGGCUUCAUCAGGAUUUGCCUUGUACAUACUUGCCAUGGAGUUGUGGUCUUUCUUCUUCUUUGCAUACACAUCCAAAUCAUCCUCGUGGUCUUCUGGAUCAUUGAUCAACUUUGCCCAUUCUUCAACAGUUAAUUAGUACCUUGUACCUUCACACAUCCACACUAUCCUUACAUUUGGGUAGAAAUGAGCAGUGGAGUAGAAUUGCAUGAUUAGCUCAUCAUUCCAUUUGGUGAGCUUCUGUCCAACAAACUUGUCAACUCCACAAGCUUUGAAACUGUCAUAUACACCUGGAAAGUGAUCUUCAUUCUCUUUGAUGUAUUCCCAAUCAACCCAUCUCAUGUCACAGACAAUUGGCUUCUUGUCAAGCAAAAUAGUCUCAUAGAAGUCUUGCUCUUCUUUGGUAUGGAACAUGUAGUCCACUGCAGUUCUCCUUCUCACAGCAAAAGGGGCAUUCUUCCUCCAAAGUCUCAGACCUGCAUCAUUUCUGAUGUUUAUGUGCUCUGCCAUUGGAUGAGUGUCACUGUGGUCUGGAAUCUUUGGUUUGAGCGUUCUCAGCACCUGGGCUUCAGCAUCUUCUUCAUCAACUUCAGGCACUGGGGACUUGUUCUUCUCUUCAACUGGGAUGUUUCUGGUGCUUCUUUUAGGUGCAAACUUGGUGGUUUGAGCAGCAACUUCGGGAGCAGGUUUGGGCUUAGAUGUAGCAGCCCCUGACUUGAUUGCAUCUCCCAUAAGCUUUUGUGACUUGGGUGUUGGUGCAGCAUCCUAUUCCUUUUCCUCUUCUUCUGAAUCUCUUACCAUAGUUGACUUUCCAAGAACUUUUGCAGUUGUGGUUCUUGCCCUCUUCUUCUUCUUGCCAGCUCCAACUGCCUCACCAUCAUCUGAUUCUAUUGUGAAUUUCAUGGUUUCUCCUGUUGGAACUUUCCUUGGCUUGGAUGUUGGGACUCUCCUUGCUGGUGCCUUCUUGUUCAUACCAGACUUUGUUGUAGCAGCAGUGCCAUAUUCUUUCUUCAGCACUUUCUUCUUUGAGGUGGCCUCAUCCUCAACAGCAACAUAGUCCUCAUCCUCGGAGUCCGAGGUUCUCUUCUUCCUUGUUCUGGUGGCCGCCUUGGGAAAGUUACUUGGUGUGCUCCUGUUGCCCUCAUCAUAGUUGCUUGAGGGACUAGUGCCCUCACUCAUUUGCUCUUGCUCUUCAGACUUAUUCUGGCUAUCACUCUGGUCAGACAUCUUUGCAGGCAAACUGACAGUAAACCCUGUGAAUAGAUAUAGAUGAGGUAGAGUAGAUGAGCAUCACAAAGUGCAAAGAUUUUUGCAAAACAAAUGAUUCAAAAACUUAGUUUUAGUUCUCUACUGAAAUGAUUUUGGAGCUACCGAAUUGAUAAUCUCGGUGAUACCGAAGCAACAUUUGGAACCUAAACUAGUGAACUCGGUUAGACCGAGUCACAGUUCAGUGGCAUCGAGAUUGCUAGGGUUUCACAGAGAAUUGGACUCGAUCACACCGAUUUGCAGUUUUCAGUCAGACAGAAAAGCGCAUGUGCAAUGGCCUAAGCCAAAUCGGUGAGACCAAUUUAUACGAUUCGGUCGGUCUGAGAUGAGUUCAGUGGAGACCUAACCCUAAAUUUUCAAAUCAACUAAACCUAAGGAAGUUUUCUCUAGACAGAUUGAUUUCCUACGUGGCAUAGAUCAUGGCAUUGUCCUUGUGCUUAGAAUCAGAGGUAAAAAGAGAGCACAAGGGGUUGAACUCAUACCCUAGUCCGGCGGGAGUUUGCUACGGCGGCAACGGCGGGGAAGAUUCCCGUUGAUGACGACAGAAACCAGUGGCGGGAGGUCACUGGCGGCGAGGAGGCGAUCUGGAGACCCGAGGAGGCAGAGAAGGAUAUGCGCGGGCUGAGGGGUUUUGAAGAAAUUUCCAAAAUCUCACCCGUGGGUAUAUAUAUCCCGACCCUCUCGGUGUGACCGAGUGGAACAACUCGGUGGCACCGAGAUGCAGAAUCGCAAGCGGUUACUGCAACUCGGUGUGACCGAAAUGUUCAGAUCGGUUGCACCGAGAUGAAAACCUAGAUCAACUUAGUGAACUCGGUGUGACCAAAAUGGAUGACUCGGUCAUACCUAAAUGCACAAAGAGGUUUGGGAAGUUUAAGUCUAUGACGAAUCGGGGACUCCGAGUGCUCCUCACACAAAGUGGUUCGAAUCUGACUUGAUCAAACUUUGUGAUAUAGCAUGAAUAGAGUUUGAGACGAGAAAAGCAUAUAUAGCUUGAGGAGGUUCUUAGGCAUUCUUGUCCAUCCACUUGGCAAAAAAUAAAGAAUCAAACAAUCAAAGCAACAAGUGGAUGUCCUCGAAUGGGUAAAAUAUGCAACCAACAUGCUCACACAAUAAAAUGGCAAAUGAAAUAUGUGGCAAAACAUGCACAAACACUCUAGCAUCUAUCAAGCAAUUUGUGAUGACUAGGUCAUCUAUAUAUGAGUAUAUUGACUUAGGAGUCAAAUGAGAUCAUUUGAUCAUAGGUCAUACUCAUCGUUCAAGCACAAGUGGGGUUACCACUUUUACAUACAGCAUUGUUGUGUUCACACCGUUAGAGUUGCUUUAGCUCAAUUCUUAGAUUAAAGCUCCCCUAGAUGUGAUAUCCCCCCUAAGAGGGAUAAACUAACCUUGGGUUUUGUCGAUGAUGACUUCAUGUAGGUGUUGAAGAUGUGGACACUCAAUGUUGAUGUAGAUCAUUCGGAGCAAUCCAUUGGAGUGAGUUACACUUUCAAUACCUACAUGGGUUAGUCCCACAAGAAACAAACAAAGAUAUCCAUAGACAUAGAGUGAUGUUCACACAAGAUGAUGUCCAUGAAGGCAUUAGGUUACCUUGUUCCUUGUCUUACCAACAAGAGGGUUUGUGACUCCUUGACCUAGUGCAAGAUAUGGAAGUUGUUUGCACUUGUUCUUGCCAAAAUGAUAUGAGUGAAUUGUGUUGGCGGAGUCACCCUUAAGAACUCUGUAGUUCUUCUUCUUCCGGAUCCACAUCAUCUUGAUGGGAAUCCUUGGGGUUCUAGUCGUACUUGAUGAAGUAGAACUUGAUGUAGUCUUGGGAACCCACUUGACCAAGGCCUUGGGAGCUUCUUCAAAUGCAUCAAUCUCCUCUUGAAGCUUAUCCUUGCCUUUUUGCUUGUGGUCUUGUGGUGUGAGGGAGUCCCGGAUUAGGGGGUGUCCGGAUAGCCGAACUAUCACCUUUGGCCGGACUCCUGGACUAUGAAGAUACAAGAUUGAAGACUUCGUCCCGUGUCCUGAUGGGACUUUCCUUGGCGUGGAAGGCAAGCUUGGCGAUAUGGAUAUGUAGAUCUCCUACCAUUGUAACCGACUCUGUGUAACCCUAACCCUCUUCGGUGCCUAUAUAAACCAAAGGGUUUUAGUCCGUAGGACGAACAACAAUCAUACCAUAGGCUAGCUUCUAGGGUUUAGCCUCUCUGAUCUCGUGGUAGAUCUACUCUUGUACUACCCAUAUCAUCAAUUUUAAUCAAGCAGGAGUAGGGUUUUACCUCCAUCUAGAGGGCCCGAACCUGGGUAAACAUCGUGUCCCUUGUCUCUUGUUACCAUCCGCCUAGACGCAUAGUUCGGGACCCCCUACCCGAGAUCCACCGGUUUUGACACCUACAUUGGUGCUUUCAUUGAGAGUUCCUCUGUGUCGUCAUCUUUAGGCCCGAUGGCUCCUCUGAUCAUCAACAAUGAUGCGGUCCAGGGUGAGACCUUUCUCCCCAGACAGAUCUUCGUAUUCGGCGGCUUUGCACUGUGGGCCAAUUCGCUUGGCCAUCUGGAGCAGAUUGAAAGCUAUGCCCCUGGCUAUCAGGUCAGAUUUGGAAGUUUGAACUACACGGCUGACGUCCGCCGAGACUUGAUUUCGACGGGUUCGAGCCACAGCCAAGCGCGCCGCACUGUCACGAUGGGCAUGAUCUAGCUCUGCCGCCGGACAGUGCCCUGGAGGCCGCACCAGUGUCCGCUCUGACCCUUAGCUCGGAGCCAACUGCACCGAUCGAGGACGGGUGGCUAGACACCGCCUCGGGGGCUGCUAUCUCUACGGCGAUGGAGCCGAAUACUAUCCCUGUCCUUUGCAAGGCUCGUAACUCCAAGGUGCCGGACUCCUCUCUGGACUCCGAACCUUCCACGCCCCUGCCGAUCGAAUCCGAUUGGGCGCCGAUCAUGGAGUUCACCACCAUGGAGAUCUUUCAGCACUCACCCUUUGGUGACAUAUUGAAUUCACUAAAGUCUCUGUCUUUAUCAGGAGAGCCCUGGCCGGACUAUGGUCAGGAAGGCUGGGAUGCGGACGACAAAGAAAUUCAAAGCCCACCCACCACCCACUUCGUAGCCACUGUCGAUGAUUUAACCGACAUGCUCGACUUCGACUCCGAAGACAUCGACGGUAUGGACGACGAUGUAGGAUACGACCAAGAGCCAGCGCCUACAGGGCACUGGAAGGCCACCUCGUCCUACGACAUUUACAUGGUGGACAUCCCAAAAGAUGGGAACGGCGAUGGAACAACGGAGGAUGACCCCUCCAAGAUACAGCCUAAGCGCCGGCGUCAGCGGCGACGCUCUAAAUCCCGCCACAACAAAAACGGUGAUUCCGGCACGGGAGACAAUAACACCCGGGAAAGUGCCGAAGACAACCCCCUCCAGCAGGAUUCAGCACAGGAGGAUGGAGAAGCCAGCCCUCAUGAGAGAGCAGCAGGCAGAGAGGUAGAGGACGAUAAUUACAUGCCUCCCUCCGAAGAUGAGGCAAGCCUCAACGACGAAGAAUUUGUCGUGACUGAGGAUCCCGUCAAACAGGAGCGUUUCAAACGCAGGCUUAUGGCCACGGCAAGCAGCCUCAAGAAAAAGCAGCAACAGCUUAGAGCUGAUCAAGAUUUGCUAGCUGACAGAUGGACUCAAGUCCUUGCGGCCGAAGAGUACGAACUCGAACGCCCCUCCAAGAGCUACCCAAAACGCAGGCUGCUACCCCGAUUAGAGGAGGAAGCACCUAAACCUACAUCACCAGCGCAUGAUACGGACCGGCCACCUCGUGGCCGCGACAGAGAGGCCUCUCGGCCCUCCACUCAAGCCGCACCCCGGCGCCGCUCAAAAAAUACCAAGGCACGGGAAAAUGCGCCAGACCUGCGGGAUAUACUGGAGGGCAAGGCAAGGCAAACAAGAUCGAUCUACGGAUCGCGUGGGCGCCCCAUGAUACGUGAUGAUAACCAUCACGCCGGUUAUGGCAAUUCCGGCCGGGCCGAACACAAUAGACAAAGCUCAUUUGAGCUACGUCGUGAUAUAGCCCAAUACAAAGGCGCAGCACGCCCACUAUGCUUCACAGACGAAGUGAUGGAUCAUCAAAUCCCUGAGGGUUUCAAACUCAUAAACAUUGAAUCUUAGGAUGGCACAACAGAUCCUGCGGUCUGGAUCGAGGACUAUCUCCUUCAUAUCCACAUGGCCCGCGGUGAUGACCUACACGCCAUCAAAUACCUCCCACUCAAGCUUAAAGGACCAGCUCGGCAUUUGCUUAACAACUUGCCAGCAGAGUCAAUUGGUUGUUGGGAAGACCUGGAAGCUGCAUUCCUCGACAAUUUCCAGGGCACCUAUGUGCGACCACUAGACGCCGAUGACCUAAGACACAUAAUUCAGCAGCCAGAGGAAUCGGCCAGACAAUUCUGGACACGGUUCCUAACCAAGAAAAAUCAAAUCGUCGACUGUCUAAAUGCAGAGGCCCUUGCAGCCUUCAAACAUAACAUCCGCGACGAGUGGCUUGCCCGGCACCUAGGACAGGAAAAGCCGAAAUCCAUGGCAGCCCUCACAACACUCAUGAUCCGCUUUUGCACGGGAGAACACAGCUGGCUACCUCAUAGUAACAACAUGACCAAGAGCCCCGGUAAUUCGGAUACUAAGGACAGCAAUGGCAAGUCGCAUCGCAACAAGCACAAGCGCCACAUUAAUGGCGAUAAUGCUGAGGAUACGGCAGUCAAUGCCGGAUUCAGAGGCUCUAAACCCGGUCAGCGGAAAAAGGCAUUCAAAAUAAUUACUCCGGGCCCGUCCAAUUUGGACCGAAUACUCGAUCGCUCGUGCCAGAUACACGGCACCCCCGAAAAACCAGCCAACCACACCAACAGGGAUUGUUGGGUGUUCAAGCAGGCAGGCAAGUUACAUGCCGAAAACAAUGACAAGGGGCUGCAUAGUGACGAUGAGGAGGAGGAGCCCCGACCGCCGAACAAUAGAGGACAAAAGGGCUUCCCCCUACAAGUGCGGACGAUGAACAUGAUAUACGCAACCCACAUACCCAAAAGGGAGCGGAAGCAUGCACUAAGGGACGUAUAUGCGAUGGAGCCAGUCGCCCCAAAGUUCAACCCGUGGUCCUCUUCCCCGAUCACUUUUGACCGAAGGGACCACCCCACUAGCAUCUGUCAUGGCGGAUUCGCCGCAUUGAUUCUAGACCCAAUCGUUGAUGGAUUUCACCUCACUAGGGUCCGAAUGGACGGCGGCAGCAGCCUGAACCUGCUUUAUCAGGAUAUAGUGCGCAAAAUGGGCAUAGACCCCUCAAGGAUAAAACCCACAAAGACGAUAUUUAAAGGCAUCAUACCAGGUGUAGAGGCCAACUGUACAGGCUCAGUUACACUUGAAGUGGUCUUCGGAUCUCCGGAUAACUUCCGAAGCGAGGAGUUAAUCUUCGACAUAGUCCCGUUCCGCAGCGGCUAUCACGCACUGCUCGGACGAACCACAUUUGCAAAGUUCAAUGCGGUGCCGCACUACGCAUAUCUCAAACUCAAGAUGCCAGGCCCUCGAGGAGUCAUUACGGUCAACGGAAACACCGAACGCUCUCUCCGAACGGAGGAGCAUACGGCGGCUCUCGCGGCGGAAAUACAAAGCAGCCUCUCAAGACAAUUCUCGAGUCCGGCUAUUAAAUGUCCGGACACCGUCAAGCGCGCCCGGAGUAACCUACAACAAGACCGCCUGGCACGUCCCGAGCACGCGUAGCAAUGCGGCCCCAACCCCAACCCUCGCGAAAUUGCGAAACCAGUACUACGUGUACAUAAUUACGCUUUGGAAAUACCAUGGGCAUAGGGGGAGGGGCACGACCACGGCAGGCCUAGAAUGCGGCUCAACCGCACCAGGGGCUCCCGAUUGUGUAAUUAUUUUUUCUUACUUUCAGGACUCCUUUAUCAAGAAGCCCUGUCCGGUAGUAGAAUCGCCGAACACACGAUGCAACAGCCAGGGAAGCAGAAAGCUACGUCGAGUGUCUAGGUGGUCUCUAUAACGAGCAGUAUACCUGUUUUACAUAUCAUCCCGCAGCUUGCUUCUGGAGGGGGACAUGUCAAAUAGUACCGUCCCUUGCUUAUCGCACUAUUUGUAUCGUUCUGCUUUUACCACAGCUUUUUUGAAUAAACAAUGCAUAGCUUUUGUCUAUUAUUGCAUUCCUUUUUUUACCUAUAUAUGUUCACUUAUGACAUGUUGCAUCCGUACGCUUUGGUACGGCCAAAUACACUAGGGGCUUAAGUACCCCAAAAUAUGGUGUGAUAAGUCUGAACACUUUCACAAGUGCGGCACCCCGAACUUAUAGCAUUAUAUGCAUCGGCUCCGAAUCAUGUCUUGGGUCAAUAGUUGGGUUUGUCCGGCUCCCAUGUUUUGGUACCUUACGUUCCGUUAUAUCGGCUAAGGUAGCGCUGGGAGAACCAGUGCGAUUGUGCCCCGGUUGAGCUGGGUUGAGCACCUCAGUGGAGAAAGCUAAAACUGACCGUCAUGAUAGGGAGAGAGUCGGUCGCUAUUCGAGAGGUUUUCGAGUCCCUAAAGACUUAUGCCGCUUAGAGCGAGGAGAUGGCUUUGUCCGGCCCAAGUGUGGAUAGCGCCCCGAAUUCGGUCUUCCGAAUACUAGGGGCUUCGCUAAAAUUUAAAAUUAUAGAAUUCUAUGGCUAAGUGAGAGUGUUCAAGCAUUAUAGUCUGGUUGCCUUGCUCGUUGCGUUGAGCGCCUCCCUCGAAGGACCCAAGAAUGGGAAAAAGAGCACCCAAGUUUAUCCCGAACACCCCAGCACUCGCGGCACGGGGGCAGAAGUCGACGACUCACCAUCUCUCAAAUUUAAUAAACGGCCGCACAGAAGGUAAUAUUUUAAAUUCACAAGUGUUGCUUAGCGCAUAUGAACAAGUUUUCAAGCGUACAGGAUAACAAAUGCGAGUUUACUCAAAAAUUACAUCUUUGGAGAAUUCACCCGCUAUAAGGAGGGCACCCUUCAGGACGCCCGUAUAAUACAUCUCGGGCGUGCGAUACUCCUUGCCCGGUGGUGGAGCGUCUGUCACAAGCUUCUCAGCGUCCAUCUUGCCCCAGUGCACUUUAGCACGGGCAAGGGCCCUACGGGCACCUUCGAUCCAGACGGAGCGCUUGACAACUUCAAUCCAUGGACAGGCAUCCACCAGCCGCCUCACCAGCCCGAAGUAGCUUCCAGGCAUGGCUUCCUUAGGCCACAGCCGAACUAUGAGGCCCUUCAUGGCCUAUUCAGCCACCUUAUGGAGCUCGACCAGCUGCUUCAGCUGGUCGCUCAAGGGCACCGGGUGUCCGACCUCAGCAUACUGAGACCAGAACACCUUCUCCGUCGAGCUCCCCUCCUCGGCCUGGUAGAAUGCGGCAGCGUCGGACACACUGCGGGGUAGAUAUGUGAAUGCUCCUGGAGAGCUCCGAAUUUGGGUAAGUAACAAAUAAUUCACUUUCACGUGCUUGCUCUGCAUGGAGAAUGCCUUACCCACCGCAAUCUUCUUCAUUGCCUCAAUUUCCUGGAGGGCUUUUUGGGCUUCGGCCUUAGCGGCUUUGGUGCUCUCAAGAGCCGAGGCAAGCUCGAACUCUCGAGUCUUUGAGUCACGCUCCAAACUCUCAUGUUUUUCCACGAGAGCCUGGAGCUCUUGCCGCACCUCCGCCACCCGCGCCUCCUGCUUCUCUCGCUCGGUGCGCUCCGCAGCCGCAUUGCUUUCGUCCUUGGACGCCGCUUCCUUCAGGGUCGCCACCUCGUUCGUGGCCCCUGCAAUUCUCACGUUAUUCCUGCUAUUUUUUGCAACCACAUCAUUUAUAUACUUCCAUAAGGUAUUACUUACCUCCUUGUCCUCGAGCUGCUUUUUGGCAAGGCCGAGCUCGUUCUCGGACCGCUCGAGGCUCUGCUUCAAUGCAUUAACCUCCGCAGUCAGUGCGGCAGAGGUCAGCAGCGCAGCCUGCAUUCCCCAUAUUGACAUUCUUAUGUUAGACUCCUGCGUACAUCUUUUUAGAUCCUCAGUUUGGUUUUUAUUUCCGAACACCAAACUGAGCAUCAGGGGCUACUGUCUAUGCAGUAAUAUUUUUACAUAUCUUAAAUACAUACCUCAAAGCCUAUUAGAAGGCUGGCACAGGCUUCAGUCAGCCCGCUCUUGGCGGACUGAACUUCCUGGAUCACCACACUCAUAACAGUGCGAUGCUCCUCGUCGAUGGAGGCAUCAUUAAGCGCCUCCAGCAAAUUAUCUGGUGCCUCUGGUUGGACAGAGGCCACCGGUGUCGCAGUCUCGCCCUUCUUACGAAGGGGCUGCCUGCCGGACUCCAGAACCACUGAAGGUUCCGGUGCGGAGUCCGGCCCAGGGCCUGACUUAGAGCCCUUUGGGGUUUGAUCCCCCUUAUGCCCAGAGUCUGGGAGGUUGCCUUGCGGCGCCUCCAAGACCUCCUCCUCCUGGAUGGGCCCCUUUUGGGACCCACCUUGGCGUCAUCCACAGCGCGAGGAGAGGAGGCGGCCAGAAGUGAAGUGCUAUUCACGUCCGACGAAGCCAGGGAGCCACUCGUUGAAGUGUCAAGCCCAUCCUUGGGCGGGCUGCAGGGUUGUAUUCGGCGUUAGGAGACUCUAUACGACAAACAAAACGCCAUGAGUUAUUUCGAUAUCCGGAUACUUACGAUGUCGCCGGGGGCUUAUCCCUCGGUGGCCACUCCUCUUCGCUGUUGUCGGCGUUGGUGGAGUAGUCCGGAGGAAGGGUCCUUCCCUUCUUGGACCCUCCGGCCUCCCCAGUUGGGGCGGCCUUCCUUUUCUUCUCUCCCCCCGCUGGGGGAGAGGCCUCUUUUUCCUCCUCCUCGUCUUCACGGGAGGAGUCCGCCUUAGAGUCAUCAGACAAUGAGUCCGAUAACACCUGGCGCCGGGAACUCUUUUGAGUUCCUGUGGCCUUAUUCUUGGCCUUCUUCUCUGGUACCACGUGAGGUGCCGGAACCAGCAGCCCCGUCAAUCGGGCGUCCGCUGGGUCUUCUGGCAAGGGAGCCGGACAGUCAACCUGCCCGGACGUCUUCUGCCAGGCCUGUCAAAGGUAAGGGAGUUUAGAUCCCGCAUAGAGUCAAACUAUGAAAAACAAGUGUCCUGUAAAGGGUAAAAUAGCUUACCUCGCUAGCUUGACGCUGCGAGCUGAAUCCGCGAUCUUCGGUAGCGGAUGUGGGAGCCUCGGCGCCCUUGAACAGCACCUUCCAGGCAUCUUCGUACGUAGUGUCGAAGAGCCUGCUCAAGGUUUGGUGAUGUGCCGGAUCAAACUCCCAUAGGUUGAAGGCCCGUUGUUGGCACGGGAGGAUCCGGCGGAUGAGCAUGACCUGGACUACGUUGACAAGCUUGAGCUUCUUGUUCACCAGGGUUUGGACGCAGGUUUGGAGUCCGGUCAGCUCUUCUGAAUUACCCCAUGUCAGGCCCGUCUCUUUCCAAGAGGUGAGCCGUGUAGGGAAGCCAGAUCGGAAUUCGGGGGCCGCCACCCAUGUAGGGUCAUGUGGCUCGGUGAUGUAGAACCACCCCGAUUGACACCCCUUUAUGGUCUCCACGAAGGAGCCCUCGAGCCAUAUAACAUUGGGCAUCCUGCCCACCAUGGCACCUCCGCACUCCGCCUGGCGGACGCCCACUACCUUCGGCUUGACAUUGAAGGUCUUCAGCCAUAAGCCGAAGUGGGGCUGGAUGCAGAGGAAGGCCCCGCACACGACAAUGAACGCCGAGAUGUUGAGGAUGAAAUUCGGGGCCAGAUCAUGGAAAUCCAGGCCGUAGUAGAACAUGAGCCCUCGGACAAAUGGGUGAAGUGGAAAACCUAGUCUGCAGAGGAAGUGGGUGAGGAACACCACCCUCUCAUGGGGCCUGGGGUGGGGAUAAGCUGCCCUUGUUGGGGAGCCGGUGCGCGAUGUCGCUGGACAAGUAUCUGGCCUUCCGCAGCUUUUUUAUGUGUCCCUCCGUGACGGAGGAGACCAUCCACUUGCCUCCCCCUCCAGACAUGGCUGGGGAAGGUUAAGGCGAGAUGUCUGUACUUGGGCGCUGGAGCUCGAGUGUGCGGAAAUGGAUGAGCAGAGGAGGAAGAAGGUGUGUGUGAAAAGGUGGAUCCUUAUCCCCUUAUAUGGACGGACAAAGCUAUGCGUCCCCACUGGCCUGGUGAAACUCGCUUAUCUCCCAAGCGCCGUAAUUGAUGGCGCGGUUGGGUUACCCAUGCCCGUAUUGAUGAGAAUCCCGGAAUAAGGGGACACGAUCUCUGCUUUGACAAGACGUGCCAAGGAAACCGCCUCGCUAAGCGCGAUGAGGUGAAACAGUAAAAACGAUUUGAAUAAAGACUUGGUCGUGAUGUUACACCAUGGAAUACGUCAGCAGAUUGAACUUGUGUAAAUAUUAUUCUCUCUACGGUGGUAUGUGGAACUUAUUUUGCAGAGCCGGACACUAUCCUUGUGUUCAAAAAUCUUCUAUGAAGUAUUCGGAGGAGGAACCCGCCUUGCAAUGCCGAAGACAAUAUGCGCGCCGGACUCAUCGUCAUUGAAGCCUGGUUCAGGGGCUACUGAGGGAGUCCCGGAUUAGGGGGUGUCCGGAUAGCCAAACUAUCACCUUUGGCCGGACUCCUGGACUAUGAAUAUACAAGAUUGAAGACUUCGUCCCGUGUCCGGAUGGGACUUUCCUUGGCGUGGAAGGCAAGCUUGGUGAUACGGAUAUGUAGAUCUCCUACCAUUGUAACCGACUCUAUGUAACCCUAACCCUCUUUGGUGCCUAUAUAAACCGGAGGGUUUUAGUCCGUUGGACAAACAACAAUCAUACCAUAGGCUAGCUUCUAGGGUUUAGCCUCUCUGAUCUCGUGGUAGAUCUACUCUUGUACUACCCAUAUCAUCAAUAUUAAUCAAGCAGGAGUAGGGUUUUACCUCCAUCGAGAGGGCCCGAACCUGGGUAAACAUCGUGUCCCUUGUCUCCUGUUACCAUCCGCCUAGACGCACAGUUCGGGACCCCCUACCCGAGAUCUGCCGGUUUUGACACCGACAUGGUGGAAGAUCAUCUUGAGCUUGUGUCCCUUGGAAAUAAGUAGGAUCAUACUUCUCUUGUUGAGGAACAAACUUUGUCUUGGGGUAUUGAUCUUCUUCCCACCCAACUCCAUUGGCAUUGAACUUUCGUUCAAAACCAACACCUUGGUUCUUCCGGUGUCUUCCUUGCUUGCGUACAAUUUCCUCAAAUUGCUUACUUCCAGCAAGGCUCUUGUAAACACCUUUCUCUAUAAUUCCCUUCAAUAAGCUAUUUUCUUGUUCAAGUGUAACUUGGCUAAGAGAAUCAUUAUUGGAAUCAAGAGAACUACUAGAAGCAACAACAUUGGAUUUAGCAUGAUUAUCGUUACUACUAGAGGAAGAAUCUUUAUUGUUCUUGUUGCUAGAUUUUACUUGUGGCAUGUAAGUAUACAAGAGUAAACACUUGGCAAUGUAAGAAGAACUUUUCUUGUGAAGAUCAUCAUUGAUUGCCUUUAAAAACCCAUGCUCUUGCUCUAGGUUGAGCUUUUCAAAGCGUAACUUCUCAUGAGUCUUUAAAAGUUCUCAAUGAUCUUCCAAGGUAGUUUCAUGAGCUAACUUAAGAGUAUUUAGUUCUUUAGUUAGAUGAUCAAUCUCCUUCUGAUCAUCGUCAUUCAUUUUAUCUUGAUUAGCAUGAUUAGUAGCAAAUUCAUCAUAGUUUUCAUAACUAGAGUUGUCAACAAGUAAAUCAUCAUAACCUAGCAAGUCAUCUUCAUCACUAUUGAAAUCAACAUACUCGGGGUGUGAUACCUUUGGGCCUUUAGCCAUGAAGCAUCUUCCAAUUCCUUCAUUUGGUGAGUCAAAUAUGUCAUAGGAGUUGGUUGACACAAGUGCUAGACUAGCAACACCUUCAUCUUGAGUAUAUUCGGAGUCGGAGUGAUAACUUCUUUCGGGGUGAUGGCUGGAGUCGGAGCCGGAUACCCAUUCACCAACGUGAGCUUGAUGUCUUCAUUUUGUGUAGCUCUUUGAUGAUUUGUCCUUCCUUUCCGAAUCCUUUCUUCUCCGGGAGGUUCUUCGUUCAUAAUGAUCAUCUCUACCCCUUCUCUCUCUUGGUGGUGAUUCUUCUCUUCUACUUCUUCUUUUAGGUGAAUCUUCUCUUCUUUUGUAGGGAGUCGUACACUCAUUGGAGUAGUGUCUGGGUCUUCCACAAUUGUAGCAAUUUUGUUCACGACUCAAAGAUCUUUUGUCAUUGUAGGACCUUGACUUGGAACUUCUUUGCUUGCUUCUACUCUUGUAGAACUUGUUAAAGUUUUUCACCAUUAGGCUCAAUUCUUCAUUGAAGGUUUGUUUCUCACUUGAUAAUGUAGGAGCAUCACAUGAGGCUUUGUAAGCACCACUUGACUUGUUGUGAAGCUCUUCUUUAUCCUUGAGUGGCAUCUCAUCAGCAACAAUUCUUCCAAUGACUUUUGUUGGCUUGAGAUCUUUGAAAUUGGCAUCAUUUGGAUCAAUAUGCACAUGGUAUCAUAUUUUCCAUCCAAGGCUCUUAGGAUCUUCUUGAUGAUGAAUCUAUCGGUCAUCUCUUCACUUCCUAAGCCGGCAAUCUCAUUUGUGAUGAGAGCAAGACUAGAGUACAUUUCAGCGACACCUUCACCAUCCUUGAUUUUGAACUUGUCAAGUUGACUUUGAAGUACAUCCAAUUUAGAUUCCUUGACGGAGUCGGUACAUUCGUGCAUAUCAAUCAAAGUAUCCCAAAUUUCCUUUGCAUUCUCAAGACGGCUGAUUUUGUUGAAUUCUUUGGGGCACAAUCCGUUGAAGAGAAUAUCACAAGCUUGAGCGUUGUAUUGCAGCAUCUUCAACUCUUCCGCGGUAGCUUCACGGUUUGGUUCUCUCCCAUCGAAGAAUUCACCUUGCAAGCCAAUACACACAAUAGCCCAAACGGCGGGUUAUGGCCAAGAAUAUGCAUUUUCAUCUUUUGCUUCCAACUAACAAAAUUAGUACCAUCAAAGUAAAGACCUCUACGGUGGUAAUUUCCCUCGCUAGAUGCCAUACUCUCCUAGGUUGUGAAACCAAGGCUAUGAUCAGCAAAGCUAUGGAAAUCAAGGCAAAUGGAGACCUGAUACGUCUCCAAUGUAUCUAUAAUUUAUGAAGCAUUCAUGCUAUUAUAUUCUCUGUUUUGGAUGUUUACGAUCUUUACUAUACACUUUUAUAUUAUUUUUGGAACUAACCUAUUAACCGGAGGCCCAGCCCAUAGUGUUGUUUUCUUGCCUAUUUCAGUGUUUCGAAGAAAAGGAAUAUCAAAUGAAGUCCAAACGGAAUGAAACCUUUGGGAAAGUUAUUUUUGGAACGGAAGCAAUUCAUGGGACUUGGAGUGCACAUAAGGGAAGCCUCAAGGUGGCCACGAGGCAGGGAGGCGCGCCCACCUCCCCUGGGCGCGCCCCCACCCUCGUGGGCCCCUCGUGGCUACCCUUACCAAAUUCUUUCGCCUAUAUAUCUCCAUAUACCCUAAAAACAUUGGGGAACAAAAUAGAUCGGGAGUUCCGCCGCCGCAAGCCUCUGUAGCCACCAAAAACCUCUCGGGAGCCCAUUCCAGCACCCUGCCGGAGGGGGGGAUCCCUCACCGGUGGCCAUCUUCAUCAUCCUGGCGCUCUCCAUGACAAGGAGGGAGUAGUUCACCCUCAGGGCUGAGGGUAUGUACCAGUAGCUAUGUGUUUGAUCUCUCUCUCUCUCUCGUGUUCUUGAGGUGAUACGAUCUUGAUGUAUCGCGAGCUUUGCUAUUAUAGUUGGAUCUUAUGAUGUUUCUCCCCCUCUACUCUCUUGUAAUGGAUUGAGUUUUUCCCUUUGAAGUUAUCUUCUUGGAUUGAGUCUUUAAGGAUUUGAGAACACUUGAUGUAUGUCUUGUCGUGCUUAUCUGUGGUGACAAUGGGAUAUUCACGUGAUCUACUUGAUGUAUGUUUUGAUGAUCAACUUGCGGGUUCAUUGACCUUGUGAACUUAUGCAUAGGGGUUGGCACACGUUUUCGUCUUGAAUCUCCGGUAGAAUCUUUGGGGCACUCUUUGAAGUACUUUGUGUUGGUUGAAUAGAUGAAUCUGAGAUUGUGUGAUGCAUAUCGUAUAAUCAUGCCCACGGAUACUUGAGGUGACAAUGGAGUAUCUAGGUGACAUUAGGGUUUUGGUUGAUUUGUGUCUUAAGGUGUUAUUCUAGUACGAACUCUAUGAUAGAAUGAACAGAAAGAAUAGCUUCAUGUUAUUUUACUACGGACUCUUGAAUAGAUCGAGGAGAAAGAAUAACUUUGAGGUGGUUUUGUACCCUACCAUAAUCUCUUCGUUUGUUCUUCGCUAUUAGUGGCUUUGGAGUGACUCUUUGUUACAUGUUGAGGGAUAGUUAUAUGAUCCAGUUAUGUUAUUAUUGUUGAGAGAACUUGCACUAGUGAAUGUAUGAACCCUAGGCCUUGUUUCCUAGCAUUGCAAUAUCGUUUGUGCUCACUUUUAUCAUUAGUUACCUUGCUGUUUUUAUAUUUUCAGAUUACAAAAACCUAUAUCUACCAUCCAUAUUGCACUUGUAUCACCAUCUCUUCACCGAACUAGUGCACCUAUACAAUUUACCAUUGUAUUGGUUGUGUUGGGGACACAAGAGACUCUUUGUUAUUUGGUUGCAGGGUUGUUUGAGAGAGACCAUCUUCAUCCUACGCCUCCCAUGGAUUGAUAAACCUUAGGUCGUCCACUUGAGGGAAAUUUGUUAAUGUCCUACAAACCUCUGCACUUGGAGGCCCAACAACGUCUACAAGAAGAAGGUUGUGUAGUAGACAUCAAGUUCUUUUCUGGCGCCGUUGUCGGGGAGGUGAGUGCUUGAAAGUAUACCUUUAGAUCUUGCAAUCAAAUCUUUUUGUUUCUUGUUUUAUCACUAGUUUAGUUUGUAAAAGAAAACUACAAAAAAUGGAAUUGAGUUUGCCUCAUACGCUUCAUCUUUUUAAUAUCUUUCUUAAGUAUGAUGAAAAGGAAAACUGUGCUCGAGUGCGAGAAGAAGAAGUCUAUAAGAUGUUUGGUACUAAAUCUUUGAAUGAUGAGCAUGAUUGCAAUGUUGUUAGUAUGAACUCCUUGAAUAUACAUAGUACUAAUGAUGUUUGCACUAGUUAUGAUGAAAAUGUCUCCUAUAAGCAUGUCGAUUUUUGUGGUGUGCAUUGGGUUUGCAGGUACACACCAAAUAGGGAAAAUAUAUAUUGCAAGAGGCAUAAGCAUUUAGAAACUAAAUUGUUGCAAGGAAGGCUAAAUGUGAGUGCUGAAAAUUUAACAUGCCUUUCCGUACUUGUGAACUUUGCAAUGAAAGUGGUCAUUUACAUCUCUGAUGCAAAUUGUUUCAUGAUCGAAUCGUGUCCAAAAAUUGUGAUGAUUUGAUUUCCCUUGCACGUUAUAACGAACUUAGUUUGAUUUUGGGUUAUGAAGAAUUGAAACGUUUAACUAAGAAUCUUCCAGAAUUUGCCCUUAAGAAAUUUCUUGAUAUAGAUCUAGAGGAAAUUUAUAUGUAUUGUGCGGUGAAUUGCAUUGAAAAUCCUUAUAUUGCCAAUUACAUAAAGAAAAUAAAGCAAAUAGAAGAUGAAGAGAACACUAAUGAAAGGGAAGAGACUUCCCAUUAUCCUCCUAUUAUUUCUUAUGAUGAAUCAGGUAACGAGGAGGAGCUUUCUAUUCAACCAAUCCCAUCAAUAAGAAGCACAAAGAAGAAGGUUGAACCCACACAUAAUGUGAAGAAGAAAAAAAAUGGAGAAGCAAAGGUAAAAGGUAUCCCUCCCAAAUGAUGUGGCUCCUACUACUCUUUGUGAUGAUGAUAAUUGCUAUACUCUUGGUGCUAUCCAUAGUAUUAAUGAUGAGAGUGAUUAUGCUUAUGAUAUGAAAGGGCCCAAGCUUGGGGAAGCUAUGUUUGAUGAGGGUGACAUAUUUGAGAAUAUAUUUGCUGCAAUUAAUGUCUGUCCCAAGCUUGGGGAUGCUACGUUUAAUGAAGAUGAUAUUUUUAGCAUCCCAAGUUUUGAUAUGCAAAGUUGUUAUGAUGAUAGCAUGCCUCUUACCUAUGAUGAUUAUAUUGAGGAAAGUGGGUUUGGAAGAGUGUCAACUUUAGGAAGUAAUGAUCCCACUAUUUUGGAGGAUGUUGAAUCUUAUAAUAAUUAUGAAAGUGGAUUUGGAGAGGUCAUGACUUUAUUUAGUGAUGAGUCCACUAUCUUGGAAGAGGUUUCAAUUGAUUAUGAUGAGAACAAAGUUGCUACUUAUGAUGAUUAUUGUGAUGAAACUUAUGCUAUAAAAAGUAGUUAUGAUUAUAUUUAUAAAAGUUGUCAUGAUUAUGAUUACCCUUUUCCUGAACAUUACUCUUUUAAUGUGGAAACAAUUUUUAGUAUUCGAGUCUCUUAUGAUACUCCCACUAUUCCGAAUAAGAAGAAUUUUGCUUAUGUGGAGAGUAGUAAAUUUUCUGUGCUUGUAGAUCAUGAAAAGAAUGAUUUAGGUGCUGGUUAUAUUGUUGAAUUCAUUCAUGAUGCUACUGAAAAUUAUGAUGAGGGAGGAACAUAUGCUUGUAGGAAUUGCAAUAAUGUCAAGUUUCCUCUCUAUGUGCUUAAAAUAUUGAAGUUAUGCUUGUUUUACCUUCCUAUGCUAGUUGAUUAUUGUUCCCAUAAGUUGUUUGCUCAAAAAAUCCCUAUGCAUAGGAAGUGUGUUAGACUUAAAUGUGCUAGUCAUAUGCUUCAUGAUGCUCCCGUUAUGUUUCAAUUCUUCUCUUUUAUGUGAGCAUCAUUGUCGUCAUCAUGCCUAGCUAGAAAGGCAUUAAAGAAAAGUGCUUGUUGGGAUACAACCCAAUAUUUACCUUUACUGUUUUUGUGUGUCCACAUGAUUAUGCUACUGUAGUAAUCAUGUUUUAUAGCUUUUGUUUCAAUAAAGUGCCAAGUAAGACCUUUAGGGUAGCUUACGGUGAUAGUUGUGUUGAUCCUACUGAAAAUCAGAAACUUUUGCACCCAGUACAUUAGUUUUGAUAAUUCACAGCAACGUUCUUUUGAUCUUAUUCCUUUUGAUCUGGAUUUGUACACAAAUUUAUUAGGACUUCCUAAUUUUGUAGGAUUGUUGGAGUUCUAAAAGUAUACGUUUGAUACAGAUUACUACAGACUGUUCUGUUUUUGGCAGAUUCUGUUUUCUAUGUGUUGUUUGCUUAUUUUGAUGAAUCUAUGAGUAGUAUCAGAGGGUAUGAACCAUAGAGAAGUUGGAAUACAGUAGGUUUAACACCAAUAUGAAUUUAUAAUGAGUUCAUUACAGUACCUAAGUGCUGAUUUAUUUUCUUAUACUAACGGAGCUUACGAGUUUUCUGUUGAGUUUUGUGUUGUGAAGUUUUCAAGUUUUGGGUAAAGAAUCGAUGGACUAUGGAAUAAGGAGUGGCAAGACCCUAAGCUUGGGGAUGCCCAAGGCACCCCAAGGUAAUAUUCAAGGACAACCAAGAGCCUAAGCUUCGGGAUGCCCCGGAAGGCAUCCCCUCUUUCGUCAUCGUUCAUCGGUAACUUUACUUGGAGCUAUAUUUUUAUUCACCACAUGAUAUGUGUUUUGCUUGGAGCGUCAUUUUAUUUUCUUUUGUUUUGCUUGCUGUUUGAAUAAAAUACCAAGAUCUGAAAUUCUUAAAUGUUAGAGAGUCUUUACAUAGUUGCACAAUUAGUUGACUACUCAUUGAUCUUCACUUGUAUCUUUUUGGAGUAGUUUCUCAUUUACUCGUGUGCUUCACUUUUAUCCUAUGAGUAAAUGGUUGAAUGAGUUGAAUGUCAUAAAUCUGAAAUUAUAUAUGUUUCAUUUUCUUACCACAUGGGGUGUAAUGACUUCACAUCUAAGAAGUAGAGGUUGUAAUUUAUUGAAGGUUAGCAAACAUUGUAUUGGUCACUUGAACAAUUCAUGAAAGAAUAUUGAAGGAAGAGAGAUUUCACAUAUAAAUAUACUAUCUUAGACAUCUACUAUGAUUGUGAGCCCCAUUAAUUAUUUUCAAACCUGAGCAAAUUAGUUGAAGUUGGACAAGGAAGACAACGUAAUGAGUUAUGCUUGGGUAUAUUUGUAUAGAAGUUAUAUUGGUAUAGAUCCUCCAACAUGUGGUGCUUGCUUUUUAGAAUCCUUUGCUAGCCAAAAUAUCUGUACUAAGCAGGAAUACUGCUUGUGCAUCCAAAUUCCUUGAACCAAGUUUCUUCCAUGAGUGUCCACCAUACCUACCUAUGCGAUAUUUACCUGCCGUUCCAAGUAAAUUUGCAUGUGCCAAACUCUAAACCUUCAAAUAAUAAUCUGUUUUGUAUGCCCGAAUCGCUCAUGUAGCGACUAGGGGCUGUCAAUAUCUUCCAUGCUAGGUGGGUUACUCAAGAUGAGUGGACUCCACUCAUCAUUCACGAAAAAUAUGGCUGGUAACUGGGAUGCCCAGUCCCAUGAUCAAAAGAUCAAAAUCAAAUCAAAAAUAAUUGCAAACAAAACUCCCCCGGGAUUGUUUCGGGCAAGCCAUGGAUUGAUCAUUGUUUGUGGAGGGGGAGUAAAAACUUUACCAUUCUGUUUGGGAACCGCCUAUAAUGUAUGUAGUAUGGAAGAUAUUGGGAACUCUUGGUUGUUAUGUUGACAAUGAAAGCAUACCUCUCAAAAUUAUUUUCAUCUCUAUUUCAAAAUCGAGUUCUGGCACCUCUGCAAAUCCCUGCUUCCCUCUGCGAAGGGCCUAUCUUUUACUUUAUGCAAGAGUCGGUAGUAUUCCUUCUCAUUCCUACCUACUCUUUAGUUGGCAAGCAUCGUGUGUUGGGGAAAGAUCUAAGCAUAUAUGGCCAUGCAAAUAUAUUUGAUCAUGAAUUAUUAUUGUUGACAAUUAUCUAUAUGAUAAGUGAGUUGGGAGGCGAAACACUAAGCCCCUAUCUUUCUCUGUGUUCGAUGGAUGCUAUUUGUUCUAAGAAUAUGCUUUGAGUGGUAGCAAUCAUGGGAGACUAUAUGUUAGUUGAGUAUGUGGAGUUUGCUAAAUCAAAGCUCUGACAUAGACCCUUCCUGAAAAUAAGAUGAAUUGUAAUUGUUUGAUGACUGAGAAUGAAGUUUGCUAGUUUUCAAGAAACUUUAUGGUCUAUGCUUUAACAUGUGAAUAGCUUGUUACUUGAUCAUUAGAAGUUUUAUGAGAUGAACUACUGUUAUGACAUAUAAUGAUGCUAGAAAAGGUGAUUGAAAUUAUCAUUGAUCAAACUUGUGCACCUGCUAGCAUUCACACUUCAUAAAUUCUUUAUUUUAGCAUUUACCUACUCGAGGACGAGCAACAAUUAAGCUUGGGGAUGCUGAUAUGUCUCCAACGUAUCUAUUAUUUAUGAAGCAUUCAUGCUAUUAUAUUAUCUGUUUUGCAUGUUUACGGGCUUUAUUAUACACUUUUAUAUUAUUUUUGGGAUUAACCUAUUAACCGGAGGCCCAACCCAUAUUGUUGUUUUCUUUCCUAUUUCAGUGUUUCGAAGAAAAGGAAUAUCAAACGGAGUCCAAACGGAAUGAAACCUUCGGAAAAGUUAUUUUUGGAACGGAAGCAAUCCAGGGGACUUGGAGUGCACGUAAGGGAAGCCUCGAGGUGGCCACGAGGCAGGGAGGCGCGCCCACCUCCCCUGGGCGCGCCCCCCACCCUCGUGGGCCCCUCGUGGCUCCCCUUACCGACUUCUUUCGCCUAUAUAUCUCCAUAUACCCUAAAAACAUUGAGGAACAUAAUAGAUUGGGAGUUCCGCCGCCGCAAGCCUCUGUAGCCACCAAAAACCUCUCGGGAGCCCGUUCCGGCACCCUGCCGGAGGGGGGGGGGAUCCCUCACCGGUGGCCAUCUUCAUAAUCCCGACGCUCUCCAUGAUGAGGAGGGAGUAGUUCACCCUCGGGGCUGAGGGUAUGUACCAGUAGCUAUGUGUUUGAUCUCUCUCUCUCUCUCUCUCUCUCUCGUGUUCUUGAGGUGAUACGAUCUUGAUGUAUCGCCAGCUUUGCUAUUAUAGUUGCAUCUUAUGAUGUUUCUCCCCAUCUACUCUCUUGUAAUGGAUUGAGUUUUUCCCUUUGAAGUUAUCUUAUCGGAUUGAGUCUUUAAGGAUUUGAGAACACUGGACAUAUGUCUUGCCGUGCUUAUAUGUGGUGACAAUGGGAUAUUCAUGUGAUCUACUUGAUGUAUGUUUUGGUGAUCAACUUGCGGGUUCAGUGACCUUGUGAACUUAUGCAUAGGGGUUGGCACACGUUUUUGUCUUGACUCUCCGGUAGAAUCUUUGGGGCACUCUUUGAAGUACUUUGUGUUGGUUGAAUAGAUGAAUCUGAGAUUGUGUGAUGCAUAUCGUAUAAUCAUGCCCACGGAUACUUGAGGUAAUAAUGGUGUAUCUAGGUGACAUUAGGGUUUUGGUUGAUUUGUGACUUAAGGUGUUAUUCUAGUAUGAACUCUAUGAUAGAUUGAAUGGAAAGAAUAACUUUGUGUUAUUUUACUACAGACUCUUGAAUAGAUCGAGCGGAAAGAAUAACUUUGAGGUGGUUUCGUACCCUCCGAUAAUCUCUUCGUUUGUCCUCCGCUAUUAGUGGCUUUGGAGUGACUCUUUGUUACAUGCUGAGGGAUAGUUAUAUGAUCCAGUUAUGUUAUUAUUGUUGAGAGAACUUGCACUAGUGAAAGUAUGAACCUUAGGCCUUGUUUCCUAGCAUUGCAAUAUCGUUUGUGCUCACUUUUAUCAUUAGUUAGCUUGCUGUUUUUAUAUUUUCAGACUACAAAACCUAUAUCUACCAUCCAUAUUGCACUUGUAUCACCAUCUCUUCGUCUAACUAGUACACCUAUACAAUUUACCAUUGUAUUGGGUGUGUUGGGGACACAAGAGACUCUUUGUUAUUUGGUUGCAGGGUUGUUUGAGAGAGACCAUCUUCAUCCUACACCUCCCACGGAUUGAUAAACCUUAGGUUGUCCACGUGAGGGAAAUUUGCUACUGUCCUACAAACCUCUGCACUUGGAGGCCCAACAACGUCUACAAUAAGAAGGUUGUGUAGUAGACAUCAAGACCGUAGCUCUGAUACCACUUGUAGGAUCAAAAGUAUGUCUAGAGGGGGGUGAUUAGACUACUUGACCAAAUAAAAAUCUAGCCUUUUCUCAAUUUGAAGUCUUGGCAGAUUUUAGCAACUUAGCACAAGUCAAGUAAUCAACCUACACAUGCAAUUCUAAGAGUAUAGCAGCGGAAUGUAAAUCAUUGCAUAUGAAGGUAAAAAGGGAAGGAGUUUCGAGGGAGCAAACGCAAUGUUGACACGGAGAUUAUUGGCAUGGUUCCGAUAGGUGGUGCUAUCGUACAUCUAUGUUGAUGGAGACUUCAACCCACGAAGGGUAACGGCUGCGCAAGUCCACGCAGGGCUCCACCCACGAAGGGUCCAUGAAGAAGCAACCUUGUCUAUCCCACCAUGGCCAUCGCCCAUGAAGGACUUGCCUCACUAGGGUAGAUCUUCACGAAGUAGGCGAUUUCCUUGCCCGUACAAACUCCUUGGUUCAACUCCACAACCUUGACGGAGGCUCCCAAGUGACACCUAACUAAUCUAGGAGACACCACUCUCCAAAAGGUAAUAGAUGGUGUGUUGAUGAUGAACUCCUUGCUCUUGUGCUUCAAAUGAUAGUCUCCCCAACACUCAACUCUCUCUCAUAGGAUUGGAUUUGGUGGAAAGAUGAUUUGAGUGGAAAGCAACUUGGGGAAGGCUGGAGAUCAAGAUUUAUGUGGUUGGAAUGGAAUAUCUUGGCCUCAACAAAUGAGUAGGUGGUUCUCUCUCAGAAAAUGAAUGCUGGAAGUGUAGGCAUGUUCUGAUGGCUUUCUCCACAAAUGAAGAGAGGGUGGAGGGGUAUAUAUAGCCUCCACACAAAAUCUAACCGUUACACACAAUUUACCAAACUCGGUGAGACCGAAUCAGAAAACUCGGUCAGACCGAUUAAGUUCAUAAUGUGACCGUUAGGCAUUCGGGUGGGACUAAACUGUCAACUCGGUGGGACCGAUUUCGUUAGGGUUAGGGCAUAACAUAAUCUUGGUGAGACCGAUUACACAAACUCAGUGGGACCGACUUUGGUAAUAAGCUAACCAGAGAGUUGGCCAGGCAAACUCGGUGGGACCGAUUCGCUCAUCUCGGUGAGACCGAAAUGUUACGAAAGGGAAACAGAGAGUUCUCAUUGUGAACUCGUGGGACUGAUCACUCAUCUCGAUUAGACCAAAAUGUUAUGAAGGGAGACAGAGAAUUUGCAAUCCCAUCUCGGUGAGACUGAGAUCCCUAUCGGUGAGACCGAAGUGACUAGGGUUUCUGGCAGUGGCUAUGUCAAAUGAACUCGGUGGCGCCGGAUAGAUCAAAUCGGUGGGGCCGAGUUUGACUUUUGGUUUGGGACAUAUGUGGAUAUGAGAAAGUGGUUGAGUGUUUUUGGAGCAUAAAACUAAGCAUUUUGAGCAAGCAAGCCAUUAAGCAAUACCUCAUCCCCUUUUAAUAGUAUUGGCUUUUCCUAUGGACUCAACGUGAUCUUGGAUCACUAAGAGUAAAAUGUAGAGUCUUGAGCUUUAGAGCUUGAGACAAUCCUUUGUCCUUAGAAUUUUGAGGGGUCCACAUUCCUAAUCCAUGCCAUGCCAAUCAUUGAACUUUCCUAAAAAUUUACAUCUUGAAAUAGCAUUAGUUCGUUGAGCUAUAUGUUGUUAAUCAUUACCAAAACCACCCAGGGAUAGUUGCACUUUCAGUCUCCGACCACCAUAACAACAGAUCUAGCUGAAGAAAUGCCCACUUCAUUAUGCCGCCCCUAGAUCCACACAUACCACUGAGUUGCAGCCGCCCUAUCGCGUUCCCUGGCGCUGUUGCGCCCACCGCUGUUAGGUCAACAACCCGCUCCUUACCAGAUCCACAAUACCCGACGUCUGCCAGCAUCGACGGUGCGCCCUCCUGAGCUCCACCAAUGUGCCAAGCAAGAGGCACCAGUCAAGGUCCGGCGCUAGUCCGCUAAUGGCCAGGUCUGGCCUGAAUGCCCAACAACACUUCAGGUCGGUAGCGCACCCGCACCUCUGCACCAGCCGACAGGUCCCAUCACCGCCACAUCGCGCACGUCCCGUGCAUCUGCACAACGGAGCAAUCCCUCUUUCCACACCAUGCGAGAGGAGAAUAAAGACGCCUGGCGGUGCAUCGUAGACGGCGGGGGGAGGAGGUGUGUUGGAAGGUAGGUUCCAGCACCUAGGGUUCGCGCCCGGGUCACCCAUGAGGGAGCGACACAUGGCAUGGGUUUCUUUGUUGGACAAAAUAACUCUGCUUGUUCGUGUUAGUUUCUUGAUUUGUAGUUGUUUAUACAAAGCAUAUGAGCAAACAGUUCAGCUCGGACAACUUAGCAACACUGGACAUUUCAAAGAUAGUACUCCCUGUGUGUUCGUAAAUACAAGAUGAUCUAACUUUUUUCUGAAUCAGAUGUAUUUAUAGAUACGUUUUAGUGUAUUUGUUCAUUUAUUUCAGUCCUAUGUAGUUCAUAAUAAUAAAAUAUGUAAAACAUCUUAUAUUUAUGAACGAAGGGAGUAGCACAAAACAAAAACAUUUAUGCGGCCUGAUACGUCCAUUUUGCAUCAUGCUUUUAUAUCAAUAUUUAUUGCAUUAUGGGCUAUUAUUACAUGUUAUGUCACAAUACUUAUGGCUAUUCUCUCUUAUUUUACAAGGUUUAUCAUGAAGAGGUAGAAUGCCGGUAGCUGGGAUUCUGGCUAGAAAAGGAGCAAAUAUUGGAAACCUAUUUUGCACAGCUCCAAAAGUCCUGAAACUCCAUAAAAGUCAUUUUUGGAAUUAAUAAGAAUUAUUGAGCAAAGAAAGUACCAGAGGGGGCCCACACCCUAGCCACGAGGGUGGGGGCGCGCCCCCCUACUGGGCGCGCCCCCCUGUCUUGUGGGCCCCCUGUUGGCCCUCCGGUGCCCAUCUUCUGCUAUAUGAAGUCUCUUACCCUGGAAAAAAAAUCAUAAGUAAGCUUACAGGACGAAACUCCGCCGCCACGAGGCGGAACCAAUCUAGGGCUCCGGCGGAGCUGUUCUGCCGGGGAAACUUCCCUCUGGGAGGGGGAAAUCAUCAUCAUCAUCACCACCAACGAUCCUCUCAUCGGGAGGGGAUCAAUCUCCAUCAACAUCUUCACCACCACCAUCUCCUCUCAAAACCCUAGUUCAUCUCUUGUAUCCAAUCUUGUAUCAAAACCACAAAUUGGUACCCGUGGGUUGCUAGUAGUGUUGAUUACUCCUUGUAGUUGAUUCUAAUUGGUUUACUUGGUGGAUGAUCAUAUAUUCAAAUCCUUAAUGCAUAUUAAUACUCCUCUGAUCAUGAACAUGAAUAUGCUUUGUGAGUAGUUACGUUUGUUCCUGAGGACAUGGGUGAAGUCUUGCUAUUAGUAGUCAUGUGAAUUUGGUUCGAUAUUUUGAUGAGAUGUAUGUUGUCUCUCCUCUUGUGGUGUUAUGUGAACGUCGACUACAUGACACUUCACCAUUAUUUGGGCCUAGAGGAAGGCAUUGGGAAGUAAUAAGUAGAUGAUGGGUUGCUAGAGUGACAGAAGUUUAAACCCUAGUUUAUGAGUUGCUUCAUAAGGGGCUGAUUUGGAUCCACUAGUUUCAUGCUAUGGUUAGGUUUACCUUAAUACUUCUUUUGUAGUUGCGGAUGCUUGCAAUAGGGGUUAAUCAUAAGUGGGAUGCUUGUCCAAGAAAGGGCAGUACCCCAGCACUGGUCCACCCACAUAUCAAAUUAUCAAAGUACCGAACAUGAAUCAUAUGAGCGUGAUGAAAACUAGCUUGACGAUAAUUCCCAUGUGUCCUUGGGAGCGCUUUUCUCAUUAUAAGAAUUUGUCCAGGCUUGUCCUUUGCUACAAAAAGGAUUGGGCCACCUUUCUGCACUUUAUUUAGUUUCAUUGCUUGUUACCCGUUACAAAUUAUUUUAUCACAAAACUAUCAGUUACCUACAAUUUCAGUGCUUGCAGAGAAUACCUUAUUGAAAACUGCUUUUCAUUUCCUUCUGCUCCUCGUUGGGUUCAACACUCUCACUUAUCGAAAGGACUACGAUAGAUCCCCUAUACUUGUGGGUCAUCAAGACUCUUUUCUGGCACCGUUUCCGAGGAGUGAAGCGCCUUUGGUGAGUGAAACUUGGUAAGGAAACAUUUAUAUAGUGUGCUGAAAUUUUCUGUCACUUGUUACUAUGGAAACUAAUCCUUUGAGGGGCUUGUUUGGGGCAUCUUCGCCCUGACCAGUAGAGCAAAGAGUUGCUCUUCAACCUACUGAACCUACUGAAAAUGUUUACUUUGAGAUUCCUUCGGGUAUGAUAGAGAAACUGCUAGCUAAUCCCUUUGCAGGAGAUGGAACAUUGCAUCCCGAUUUACACCUUAUCUAUGUGGAUGAAGUUUGUGGAUUAUUUAAGCUUGCGGGUAUACCUGAUGAUGUUGUUAAGAGUAAGGUCUUCCCUUUACCUUUGAAGGGAGACACAUUGACAUGGUAUAGGCUAUGUGAUGAUACGGGAUCUUGGAAUUAUAAACGAUUGAAGUUGGAAUUUCACCAGAAGUUCUAUCCUAUGCAUCUUGUUCAUCGUGAUCAUAAUUACAUAUAUAAUUUCUGGCCUCGCAAAGGAGAAAGCAUCGCUCAAGCUUGGGGGAGGCUUAAGUCAAUGUUAUAUUCAUGCCCCAAUCAUGAGCUCUCAAGAGAUAUGAUUAUUCAAAAAAAUUAUGCUCGGCUUUCUCUCAAUGAUUGCACCAUGCUUGAUACUUCCUGUGCUGGUUCUUAUAUGCUGAAGACUACUGAAUUCAAGUGGGAUUUACUGGAAAUAAUUAAACGCAACUCUGAAGAUUGGGGUUCCGACAAUGGUAAGGAGUCAGGUAUGACACCUAAGUUUGAUUGUGUUGAAUCUUUUAUGGAUACCGAUGCUUUUCGUGGAUUUAGCGCUAAAUAUGGACUUGACUCUGAGAUAGUAGCUUCUUUUUGUGAAUCUUUUGCUGCUCAUGUUGAUCUCCCUAAGUAGAAGUGGUUUAAAUAUAAUCCUCCCACUGAAGUAAAAGUAGUUGCACCUAUUACAGUUGAAGAAAAGACUAUCACUUAUAAUGAUCCUAUUGUUCCUACUACUUAUGUUGAGAAACCACCUUUUCCUGUUAGGAUAAAGGAUCAUGCUAAAGCUUCAACUGUUGUUCGUAAGAGUAAUACUAGAACUUUUACACCUCCUGAGCAAAUUAAAGUUGAACCUAGUAUUGCUAUGGUUAAAGAUCUCUUGGUUCAUAAUAUAGAUGGGCAUGUUAUUUACUUCUGUGGUGAAACUGCUAAUAUUGCUAAACCCGAUGCUAAGAUACAUAGACCUGUUGUAGGCAUGCCUGCUAUUUCUGUUAAAAUAGGAGAUCAUUGUUAUCAUGGCUUAUGUGAUAUGGUGCUAGUGCUAGUGCAAUACCUAUUUCCCUAUAUAAAGAAAUUAUGCAUGAUAUCGCAACCGCUGAGUUAGAAGAUAUUGAUGUUACAAUAAAGCUUGCCAAUAGAGAUACUAUUUGUCUUGUGUGGGAAAGUUAAAUAUCCUGCUGAUUUUCUUGUUCUUGGCUCCCCACAAGAUAAAUUUUGUCCCAUUAUAUUUGGUAGACCCUUCCUGAACACCGUUAAUGCUUGGAUUGAUUGCAAAAAGGAUGUUGUUACGAUUGGCUUGGGAGAUAUGUCUCAUGAGUUUAAUUUUUUAAAUUUUGUAGACAACCCCAUGAUAAAGAAUUGCCUAGUAAGGAUGAGAUUGUUGGUCUUGCUUCUAUUGCCGUGCCUCCUACUGAUCUGUUAGAACAAUAUUUGCUAGACCAUGAAAAUGAUAUGUUUAUGAAUGAAAGAAGGGAAAUAGAUGAAGUAUUCCUUCAACAGGGUCCUAUUCCGAAACACAACUUACCUGUUGAAAUCCUAGGGGAUCCCCCUCCACCCAAGGGUGAUCCCGUGUUUGAGCUCAAACCAUUACCUGAUAAUCUUAAAUAUGCUUAUCUUGAUGAAAAGAAGAUAUAUCCUGUUAUUAUUAGUGCUAACCUUUCAGAGCAAGAAGAGGAAAGAUUAUUGAAAACUCUGAAGAAGCACCGUGCUGCUAUUGGAUAUACUCUGGAUGAUCUUAAGGGAAUUAGCCCCACUCUAUGCCAGCAUAAAAUUAAAUUGUAUGAAGGCUCUAAACCAGUUAGAGAUCCUCAACGACGGUUAAAUCCUAAGAUGAAAGAAGUGGUAAGAAAGGAGAUACUAAAGCUCCUUGAGGCAGGUAUAAUUUAUCCCAUUGCUGAUAGUGAUUGGGUAAGUCCUGUCCAUUGCGUCCCUAAGAAGGCAGGUAUUAUUGUUGUUCCUAAUGAUAAAGAUGAAUUGAUUCCGCAAAGAAUUAUUACAGGUUAUAGGAUGGUAAUUGAUUUCCGUAAAUUAAAUAAAGCUACUAAGAAAGAUCAUUGCCCUUUACCUUUUAUUGAUCAAAUGCUAGAAAGACUAUCCAAACAUACACGUUUCUGCUUUCUAGAUGGUUAUUCUGGUUUCUCUCAAAUACCUGUGUCAGCGGAGGAUCAAUCAAAAACUACUUUUACUUGCCCUUUCGGUACUUUCGCUUAUAGACGUAUGCCUUUUGGUUUAUGUAAUGCACCUGCUACCUUUCAAAGAUGCAUGAUGGCUAUAUUCUCUGACUUUUGUGAGGUAUUCAUGGAUGAUUUCUCCGUUUAUGGAUCCUCUUUUGAUGAUUGCUUGAGCAACCUUGAUCGAGUUUUGCAGAGAUGCGAAGACACUAGUCUCGUCUUGAAUUGGCAAAAGUGCCACUUUAUGGUUAAUGAAGGCAUUGUCCUGGGGCAUAAAAUUUCUGAAAGAGGUAUUGAAGUUGAUAAAGCUAAAGUUGAUGCUAUUGAAAAGAUGCCAUUCCCAAGGACAUUAAAGGUAUAAGAAGUUUCCUUGGUCAUGCCGGUUUUUAUAGGAGGUUCAUUAAGGACUUUUCUAAAAUCUCUAGGCCUCUGACUAAUCUAUUGCAAAAAGAUAUUCCUUUUGUCUUUCAUGAUGAUCGUGUAGAAGCAUUUGAAAUACUUAAGAAAGCUUUGAUCACUACACCUAUUGUUCAGCCACCUGAUUGGAAUUUACCCUUUGAAAUUAUGUGUGAUGCUAGUGAUUAUGCUGUAGGUGUUGUUCUAGGGCAAAGAGUUGAUAAGAAAUUAAAUGUUAUCAAGUAUGCCAGUAAAACUCUUGAUACCGCCCAGAGAAAUUAUGCUACUACUGAAAAAGAAUUCUUGGCAGUUAUAUUUGCAUGUGAUAAGUUCAGACCUUAUAUUGUCGAUUCUAAAGUAACUAUUCACACUGAUCAUGCUGCUAUUAAAUAUCUUAUGGAAAAGAAAGAUGCUAAGACUAAACUUAUUAGGUGGGUUCUCUUGCUUCAAGAAUUUGAUUUACAUAUUAUUGAUAGAAAGGGAGCUGAGAACCCCAUUGCAGACAACUUGUCUAGGUUAGAGAAUGUUCUUGAUGACCCACUACCUAUUGAUGAUAGCUUUCCUGAUGAACAAUUAGCGGUCAUUAAUGCUUCUCGUACUGCUCCAUGGUAUGUUGAUUAUGCUAAUUACAUUGUUGCUAAAUUUAUACCGCCUAGUUUCACAUACCAGCAAAAGAAAAAGUUCUUUUAUGAUUUAAGACAUUACUUCUGGGAUGACCCACACCUUUAUAAAGAAGGAGUAGAUGGUGUUAUUAGACGUUGUGUACCUGAGCAUGAACAGGAACAGAUUCUACACAAGUGUCACUCCAAACCAUAUGGGGGACACCACGCUGGAGAUAGAAUUGCACAUAAGGUAUUGCAAUCUGGUUUUUAUUGGCCUACUCUCUUCAAAGAUGCUCGUAAGUUUGUCUUGUCUUGUGAUGAAUGUCAAAGAAUUGGUAAUAUUAGUAGACGUCAAGAAAUGCCUAUGAAUUAUUCUCUUGUUAUUGAACCAUUUGAUGUUUGAGGCUUCGAUUAUAUGGGACCUUUUCCUGCCUCUAAUGGAUACACACAUAUUUUAGUUGCUGUUGAUUACAUUACUAAGUGGGUAGAAGCUAUUCCAACUAGUAGUGCUGAUCAUAACACCUCUAUUAAGAUGCCUACAGAAGUUAUUUUCCCGACGUUUGGAGUCCCUAGAUACUUAAUGACUGAUGGUGGUUCACAUUUUAUUCAUGGUGUCUUUUGUAAAAUGCUUUGCUAAGUAUGAUGUUGAUCAUAGAAUUGCAUCUCCUUAUCACCCACAGUCUAGGUUCAAGUAGAGUUGAGCAAUAGAGAGCUCAAAUUAAUUUUGCAAAAGAUUGUUAAUAGAUCUAGAAAGAAUUGGUCCAAGAAACUUGAUGGUGCAUUAUGGGCCUAUAGAACUGCAUAUAAAAAUCCUAUGGGUAUGUCUCCGUAUAAGAUGGUUUAUGGAAAAGCAUGUCACUUACCUCUCGAACUUGAACAUAAAGCAUAUUGGGCUAUUAAAGAGCUCAACUAUGAUUUCAAACUUGCCGGUGAGAAGAGGUUGUUUGACAUUAGCUCACUUGAUGAAUGGAGAACCCAAGCAUAUGAGAAUGCCAGGCUGUUCAAAGAAAAGGUUAAAAUAUGGCAUGACAAAAGAAUACAAAAGCGUGAGUUUAACAUAGGUGAUUAUGUGUUGCUAUUCAACUCUCGUUUAAGAUUUUUUGCAGGAACACUCCUCUCUAAAUGGGAAGGUCCUUACGUUAUCGAGGAGGUCUAUCAUUCCGGUGCCAUAAAAAUCAACAACUUCGAAGGCACAAGUCUGAGGGUGGUGAAUGGUCAAAGAAUCAAACAUUAUAUCUCAGGUAAUCCUAUAAAUGUUGAAACUAAUAUUAUUGAAACCGUAACCUCGGAGGAAUACAUAAGGGACACUUUCCAGAACGUUUCAGACUCCGAAAAGGAAUAGGUAUGUGGUACGGUAAGUAAACCGACUCCAAAACCAUUCUAAUGGCAAUUUUUCUCCGUUUAGGAAUAUUUAAGAAUUUUGGAAAGCAGGAAGUAAUCCAGGAAGGACACGAGGCCUCCACGAGGGUGGAGGGCGCGCCCACCCUUACUGGGCGCGCCCCCUGUCUCAUGGGCACCUCGUGUGCCUCCCGGACUCCGUUUUCUUGCACGUUACUUCUUUUGGUCAGUAAAAAUUCAUUAUAUAAUCUCCCGAAGGUUUUGACCACCGUAUCACGCAAAAAUCUUCUGUGUUUGUUUCGAGCUGUUUCUGCUGCAGAUUAGAGCAAUAUGUCAUCCCAGGAUUCGGAAGGAUAAAGUUAUGUGGCCGAUUACCUUGCAGACCCUAAGGUUUAUGGGGACUUGGAUCAUUGUGGCUGGACCAGUGAGGAAGAAGAAGACUACGAGCCUAAGGGGAAGGAGGAGAUGAGCUGAGACGAAGACGAAGUCCCAUUACCUCAACCUGGGGACAUGCAUGUGGAGUUUAAAAAGUCAAGCCUCCCCGAUAGGGCAAAAAAGCCCAAGAUCGAGUUUAUCCCUUUUCGUCUCUUGCAGGAAAACAAACAGGAACUAUGCAAAAGGAUAUUAAGCCUUGAGUGGGAGAUCGAUGAUCUAAGGGAGCAACAUUCCAUUCUCAAACGCAAGUUGAGGAGGAAGCCUACAUCACCAACAACUCCUUCUCCACCACCUCCGAGGACAUAAUCACAUGGGCAUGGGCACUCCCCUUGGCAACUGCCAAGCUUGGGGGAGGUGCCCCGGUAUCGUAUCACCAUCACACUCCUAUAUUUAUCGUUUUACUUAGUUCGAUCCUUUUAGUAAUAUCUAGAUCUGGUAGAAUAAAGUUUUGGUAUGAUUUAGUUUUGAGUUUUGCUUUGUGAUCUUUCUAUGUAAUCGAGUCCGUGAGCUAUCUAUAAUAAAGAUUAGUGUUGAGUCAAGGGAUUUGCUAUCUUGCUAUGAUCUUGAGAAAAUAGAAAGAAUAAAAGGAAUAAAAGAGUUCAUAUUGAUCUUAUGGAUAGUAAUGACUUCACACGUAAAGAGUAUGAGGCUUAAAAGUUGUUGAGGGUUGACAAACAUAGCUUUGGUCACCAUUGCAAUUAAUAGGAAGAAAUAAAGAAAGAGAGGUUCUCACAUAUAAAUAUACUAUCUUGGACAUUUUUUAUGAUUGUGAGUACUCAUUAAGUAUGACAUGCUAAAGAGUUGAUGUUGGACAAGGAAGACAACGUAACGGGUUAUGUUUUCUCACAUCUCAGUUAAAGUAUAUUGUCAUGGAUCUUCCGAACAUGUUGAGCUUGCCUUUCCCCCCUCAUGCUAGCCAAAAAUUCCUUCCACCAAGUAGAGAUACUACUUGUGCUUCCAAACACCCUUAAACCCAGUUUUGCCAUGAGAGUCCACCAUACCUACCUAUGGAUUGAGUAAGAUCCUUCAAGUAAGUUGUCAUGUUGCAAGCAAUAAAAAUUGCUCUCUAAAUAUGUAUGACUUAUUAGUGCGGAGAAAAUAAGCUUUAUACGAUCGUGUGAUAUGGAAGUAAUAAAAGCGACAGACUGCAUAAUAAAGGUUCAUAUCACAAGUGGCAAUAUAAAGUGACGUUCUUUUGCAUUAAGAUUUUGUGCAUCCAACCCUAAAAGCACAUGACAACCUCUGCUUCCCUCUGCGAAGGGCCUAUCUUUUACUUUAUGUCUUUUACUUUAUGCAAGAGUCAAGGUGAUCUUCACCUUUACCUUUUUCAUUCUAUCCUUUGGCAAGCACCUCGCGUUGGAAAGAUCCUGAUAUAUAUAUCCAAUUGGAUGUAAGUUAGCAUGAACUAUUAUUGUUGACAUCACCCAAAGGUGAAUACAUUGGGAGGCGAGAUUAUAAGCCCCUAUCUUUCUCAGUGUUCAAUUAAAAAUCCAUAACCAUCAGUAUUGUGUGAGUGUUAGCAAUUGUAGAAGACUAUAUGAUAGUUGAGUAUGUGGACUUGCUGAAAAGCUCUAUUCUUGACUCUUUCCGAUGUUAUGAUAAAUUGCAAUUGCUUCAGUGACUGAGAUUAUUGUUUGUUAGUUCUCAAUGAAAUUUCUGAACCAUACUUGACAUUGUGGACAGUUUGUUUUGAACAUAAGAAAUCAUAUGACAAAACCUAUAUAUGUUGCUGUUAUAAGAAUGAUCAUGUUGCCCUCAUGUCCGUAUUUUUAUUUUUAUCGACACCUCUAUCUCUAAACAUGUGGACAUAUUUCUCGAUAUCGGCUUCCGCUUGAUACGUCCAUUUUGCAUCAUGCUUUUAUAUCAAUAUUUAUUGUAUUAUGGGCUGUUAUUACAUGUUAUGUCACAAUACUUAUGGCUAUUCUCUCUUAUUUUACAAGGUUUAUCAUGAAGAGGGAGAAUACCGGCAGCUGGGAUUCUGGCUGGAAAAGGAGCAAAUAUUGGAAACCUAUUCUGCACAGCUCUAAAAUUCCUGAAACUCCACGAAAGUCAUUUUUGGAAUUAAUAAGAAUUAUUGAGCAAAGAAAGUACCAGAGGGGGCCCACACCCUGGCCACGAGGGUGGGGGUGCCCCCCUACUGGGCGUGCCCCCUGUCUCGUGGGCCCCCUGUUGGCCCUCCGGUGCCCACCUUCUGCUAUAUGAAGUCUCUUACCCUGAAAAAUAAUAAUAAGCAAGCUUACGGGACGAAACUCCACCGCCACGAGGCGGAACCUUGGCGGAACCAAUCUAGGGCUCCGGCGGAGCUGUUCUGCCGGGGAAACUUCCCUCUGGGACGGGGAAAUCAUCAUCAUCGUCAUCACCAACGAUCCUCUCAUCGGGAGGGGAUCAAUCUUCAUCAACAUCUUCACCAGCACCAUCUCUUCACAAAACCCUAGUUCAUCUCUUGCAUCCAAUCUUGUAUCAAAACCACAAAUUGGUACCUGUGGGUUGCUAGUAGUGUUGAUUACUCCUUGUAGUUGAUGCUAAUUGGUUUACUUGGUGGAAGAUCAUAUGUUUAUAUCCUUAAUGCAUAUUAAUACACCUCUGAUCAUGAACAUGAAUAUGCUUUGUGAGUAGUUACGCUUGUUCCUGAGGACAUGGGUGAAGUCUUGCUAUUAGUAGUCAUGUGAAUUUGGUAUUCGUUCGACAUUUUGAUGAGAUGUAUGUUGUCUCUCCUCUAGUGGUGUUAUGUGAAUGUCGACUACAUGACACCUCACCAUUAUUUGGGCCUAGAGGAAGGCAUUGGUAAGUAAUAAGUAGAUGAUGGGUUGCUAGAGUGACAGAAGUUUAAACCCUAGUUUAUGUGUUGCUUCGUAAGGGGCUGAUUUGGAUCCACUAGUUUCAUGCUAUGGUUAGGUUUACCUUAAUACUUCUUUUGUAGUUGCGGAUGCUUGCAAUAGGGGUUAAUCAUAAGUGGGAUGCUUGUCCAAGAAAGGGCAGUACCCCAGCACUGGUCCACCCACAUAUCAAAUUAUCAAAGUACCGAACGCGAAUCAUAUGAGCGUGAUGAAAACUAGCUUGACGAUAAUUCCCAUGUGUCCUCGGGAGCGCUUUUCUCAUUAUAAGAAUUUCUCCAGGCUUGUCCUUUGCUACAAAAAGGAUUGGACCACCUUGCUGCACUUUAUUUACUUUCAUUGCUUGUUACCCGUUACAAAUUAUCUUAUCAUAAAACUAUCCGUUACCUACAAUUUCAGUGCUUCAAGAGAAUACCUUACUGAAAACCGCUUGUCAUUUCCUUCUGCUCCUCAUUGGGUUCGACACUCUUACUUAUCGAAAGGACUGUGAUAGAUCCCCUAUACUUGUGGGUCAUCACGGCCAGUAUCGUUCUAGCAAAUCGGUUGAUUCAUCAACUACCGCAGCAAAAUUAUAUGACGAUCGUUCCAUGUAUCCAUGAAAUAUAUGGGAUCCGGCUCCUUCGACCACCACCAACUCCACCACCUCGCAAACACGGUCCUUGGCUUGAACACACAUCUUAAGAUCAAAACAAGAACAUCAUAUUCAUAUAUCUGUCGGAAGCAUCACGCCUAAACUUUUUAACACGUAUGGAACAAACUGAAUCACAAUUCACAAAGUAAAAGUGAUACAUAAUCUAAUCCAAACUAAAAUGCAGGGUGUAAUUUUUUAAUAGCUUCCAUAAGUGUUGAAUAAUAAUAACAUAGACAAAUCCAAAUCUUGUGCUUCCUCCCAUCAUUACUCCGAAGGGUACAACUUUAAAAUUGCACCAGAAAACAAAAAGGCAGCCGCCACUGGCAUUCUAAGCUUCCUGUCCAAAGAACACCAAAAUUUGUUAAAAGAAUCAUAGGAAUUAUCAAAAAUUGCAUGCUACCCCCUCUGUCCCAUAAUGUAGGACGUUGUUUGACACUAAUUUCCAGAGGUAUAUAAUGGCUCAUAGAUUUAAAAAAAAAUAGUCGCAUGUCUGGGAAGUCCAGGAUUGUGAUCUGCAAUGUACCCAAAGCAUAGUUAGUAAAUAAAAAAAUUGUAGACACACAAAACAACAUAGAACUUGGUCAUGUAUGCAUAUCGCGUCUACACACAAGCAACUAGUAUUGUUUUAAAUCUAUGAUACCUAUGCCAAGCGCUAGUAAAUUUCAAUAUCUACAGAUCAUAUGACAGAGUAUUUUCAGGUGGGCAGAUUGAGCGCCUGGUUGGCGCAAUCCUCAACGACACUCUUCAGCCGUGCUUUCACCUUGUUGACUGAGGACUGGUUGGGGCCUUCGAUAUACAUGUAGAGCUUGCGCUCGUUGGUGGUGAUGNNNNNNNNNNNNNNNNNNNNNNNNNNNNNNNNNNNNNNNNNNNNNNNNNNNNNNNNNUGUAACGCGUGCAUGUGAUACUUAACCAAUCCCCUAGAGUGUACUAUCUAUCGAAUGAGUGAACAAGUCAACCUGAAUCUCUCCCCUUCUACCUACUCUUGUCUCCUAUACCUCCCCUCCUCCCCAAUUCCCCAUCGUGCGAUUGAUUCUUUUCUAUCGGUCAUCACAAUUGGUAAUCAGAGCCUCAAUUCCUAGAGAAUUUUUUUUACGCUGCGACACCCAUUAAUCCCUUGGCUGGAUCGGUAACAUCCACCGUCGUAGGUGCGAUUUCACUCCAGUGAGAUCGCCCAAAAUCAUAAGGUGGGCUUGAUCUCCUCAGGGCAGGGACAACGGCGCCUUCCAAGCCUUCGAUCCAGACGUGGAAACUCCUUGCCGCCAUGGGGGAGCAUUCUACAAAUCUCACAACUCUGAUGGAGACACUGCUCUCCAAAUUCGACGAGGAGAAGGUCCUGGCAGACAAGAGGGCGGAGACGCCUACCGCAUUCAACACACAUGUCUCACUCAAGUUGAACAGCUUGGCGAAGUAGAUCGGUCUCACACAGGCGGAGGUUGAUGAUGUGCGCAAGGUGGCUUACCUGUCCGCGUCUUCGGCUCCGUCCACCGGCUCACAGGUCGACGACCCUGCUCCACCCUGCACCAACGCGUGAGGCGCCAAUCCAGCCACCACCGCCAGAUCCUGUGCCCUGUCGCCUCCAAGAACUCUCCCAAUCCCGCAAGUCCUUCUCGCAUGGUUCAAGCCGCUUGUAUCGUCAACGAAGGACCGUCACUGCUGCCCGUGCCAAGGGGGCAUAGCCUGCACAACCGAAGCAUGCACCUCCACCGACACAACACGAGGAGUACGCCCCCGCCUCCCAAAGCAUCAGUUUCCCCGUUUUGAGGGCGAGGCUCCACUGGUCUGGUUGUAUCGUUGUCUCGCAUAUUUCGAGCUAUACUAGGUGUUAGUGCACAAUUGGGUGGCGACGGUGGUUCUCUACGUCGACGGCCACGCCACGCUCUUGCUUCGGGCCUUCCGCCAGACACAUACUGACAUCACCUGGGAAGUAUUUAAUCACGCCAUGGUGGAAGAAUUUGGCCCAGAGGAAUUUGAGUCCACUAUGCACAACCUCCUGCAACUUCGUCACACCGACAUGGUAGCUGAGUACCGGCAACAAUUUGAGGUUCAUAUGUACAAUUUGCGGGCUCUAGAUCUCUCUUUGAGCACCAAUUUUUUUGUCGCUCAAUUUCUGUUGGCCCUGAAGGAUGAGUUGUGCGCAGUAGUAUGUUUACAAGCACCCAACAGCAUCACACAGGAAACGGUUUUUGCUUGCAUUCAGGAAGAGGAGCUGGACAUGCAGCGUCCUCAUCUUCGAUCAGCUUCUGCGGGACGACCACCGCCCCUGUCAGGAGCGUUUUCGUCGAUGGGUCGUCCGCCUCCAGCACCAGUACUACCGCCUGUGCCAGCUCCGGGCUAACGCGCGGCUCCAAUACCCAAACCAGCCGAUGAUGACUUUGGGCGCGAGCAUUAGCUACGAGAUUACAGGCGUCAGAAUGGCCUCUGCUUCAUAUGUGGAGACAAGUACUCGCGCGAUCAUCAGUGCAAAGAGAUCAACACAACUACUAACAAUUGAAGUGGGGGAUCAUGCAGAAGUAUUAUCUGAUGAAGCUGCCUGCGCCUUGCAGCUGCUGGAUGACCCAGAGGAACUGCUAACGCAGUCUGCUGUCUGCUUUCAGCCCAUGUUGUGCACAUGUUGACCAGAUGUCAUGGACCAUAUGACCAGUUGGCUGCUUAAAAAAUGUUCAGGGAAACUGGGAAAAGUUCACAGAUUCGAAAAUAGACCAUGAAUUUGAAAAGUUUAGAAACUAAAAAAAAUCUAUUUUUUUAAAUGUCCAUUUGAAAAAGUUUGCCAACUUGAAAAAAAAUCAUCAAUUUUGAAAGAAAAUCAUCAAUGUUGAAAAAAAGUUCAUAGGUUUUAGAAAAAUGCAUUGAUUUUGAAAAAGAACAUCAAAAUUGAAAAAAAUCAUCAACUUUGACAAAAGUUCACAGAAUUUACAAAAAAGAUCACCAAUUUGGAAAACAAGUUCAUCUAUUUUGAAAUAAAAAGUUCACGAAGUUUAAAAAAGUUUACCAAUUUUGAAAGAAAAUCACGGAUUUGAAAAAAUUUGUUAAGAAAAGAGAACGGAAAUAAAAGAGAAAAAGGAAAAUAAAAGAUAGAGAAAAGGAAAACUAAACUGGAAACACUGAGGUUGUUGGGCUGAUCCCUUUCUUCUACUUUCCCCACUGUCCUUUCUUCUAGCUGUUCUGCUCCUAAUUGACGCUAUCUUUAGAAAAAAUAACUCCAUAUGUUAAAUAUUUGGGAAUCAUAAAAAGGGCAUAACCAUAAAUAAUUCGAAAAAUAUGUUCUCCAAUCUGAACAAUGUUUAUGAAUUUGAGAAAUGCUCAAGAAUUGCAAAAAAAUGUUCAUGCAUUUUAUAAAUGUUGAAGAAUUUGAAUAUUUUUUACAAAUUUUAAAAAUUCUUGAUUUUCAUAAAAUGCUUAUAAUUUUGGGAAAGAUCGCAUUUUUCAAAAAAAGUUCAAGAUUGAAAAUAUUCCUGGAUUUCAAGGAAUGUUCAUUUAUUUAAAAAAAUCUUGGAUUUCAGGAAAUGUUCUGAAUUUCAACUUUAUAAAAUAUUCCUGAAUUUUAAAAAUGCGAAAAAAUAAAAUAAAAUCGUUAUAAAAGAAACACAUGAUUUUUUUUUGGUUCGGGGCCUUCCCACAAGCGGAAAAUGUCGAAAUGCAUAAAUGGACCGGCCCAAAGCAACUACAGAAACAAUCGGGGUGGGCGUUUGCUCCUUAUUCCAAGUGGUAUGUGCGGAAUAGGAUCUGUUGUUAUCUGGCCUAUAACCUAUCUCUUUAAGGACAAUGACUCCUCAUGUGGCUCCCUCCGAAGUGUCCCAUCCUACAUCACUGCCACAGCAAGCUAGUACCGUCGGUUCUGAACCUAGCAAUGUCGACCUCACGCCCCCAUGUGUCACGAUGUUUUCUUCGUUGCCGUUGUUCACAGGAACGUAUAUUUUACAAUUAAUUUGGUACUCCCUCCGUCCCAAAAUUCUUGUAUCUAGAUAAUUCUAAGACAAGAAUUUUGGGACGGAGGAAGUACUUUUCUUGAUUCAGAGUUCAUGUUGUCCACCACGCCUACUUGCAUCUACUGAAUGUUGAAUUACGAUCGAUGUCAGAAACCAACCAUAGAAAGAGAGGCUGACCCAACUAAGGAACUGCAGUACAUUCUAUCGGAGCUAAUCAUGCAAAGCUAGCGCAGCGCCCGCUGUCGAAAUGAAUGUGCAUAGUAAAGAUUCUAACCGACAUAACCCCUGGUCCGUCCGCACCACAUUCAGACUGUGCAAAUGAUUAAGUUUGUUCAUACUAAAUACGUUUUCGUGUCAGCAUAUACUAAUGCACAAGGUUCGUUUAGUGAGAGCUCCUGAAUACGAAAAUGUAUAUGCUGACACGAAACCCUUUAGUACCCUGAAUUUCCGGUCACUAGCUUAUGCUUUCCGUCGAUGUGAAGUUAUACCUUCGGAAAUAAUAAUGGGCGAAGGUUCGUUUGGUGAGAGCUCCUUGCAAACGAAUUUAAAGCAGUUGGAUCAUGAUGAAAUGCAUGACAUUUUCAAAAAAUACACUGCAUCUGGCAAUUCUUUUCUUAACAUGACAAAAUUUCCUUCCUUUAGUGCAAGGAAAGUCCCUCACACAUACACGGCAUUAAAAAAAAAUGUAGUAUGGCAAUUGAGGUGCUCGCUGAUAGUUCUCCCCCAACGAACGAUCGCCGGAUAAACGCGUCCUAUAUCUUUUCCCCAUUCAACUGUAUAGGUGCACUAGUUCAGCGAAGAGAUCGAUAAAUUUGAUCAGAUGUACACUUAGUAAAUGAUCUUCUUUACCCUAGUAACAGUACAAAUAUAUUUCAAUCAAUUCUGCUUCUCCAUUUCAAUUUUGAUUCAAGGUUGAAGAACUUCAAUCCAGAUAUCACCAAGUCUGCAGUGACCUUCUUCAGGUGCUCGUUCAGCAUAUCCUCGUAAACAAUAAAAUUAGCCUCUGAAAUAAUAUCCCUAUCUCUCAUAACAGAGAACACCUCUCUAGCUCCAGUUGAAGUUGCGUACUUGCAGAAUCCAUAGAUGACAGCAGAGAAGAUAAGUUCUUCUAUUAAAUAACCUAACUCAAUCAUCUCAACCACCACUUUCAUCACCUUCUCCGGGUCUUUUGACCGGCAAGCUUCAAUAACAGUUAAGGUGUACUUGAAUUCCAUUGGCCCAUUCUCUACAUUUCCAAGACAAUCUGAUACAAGUGAAACAGCUGCAUUUAUCUCUCCAAUCUUGCAUAGCCCUUUCACGAGUGAACGAUAGGCUGAAAGACUUGGUAUCCAUUCAGCCUUCAUCAUGGAGUUGUAGCAUGAGCAAGCCUCUUCAAUAUUUCCUUCAUCCACAAAACAUGGAAUCAUAAGACUAUAUGUACAUGAUUCUGGCUCGCAGUCAUCUGAAGCUUUCAUUUCCUCAAACAGUAAUAAUGCUUUCUUCCUCUCCUUGAUCUUGAGCAGAUUCUCAAUAAGAAUGUUGUAAAUGUUAACACUGAAAUACCCUUUUUGUCUCAAAGUCUUAAACAAUUCCAGAGUCUUCAAUUCCCUACCAUCCUUGCAUGCAAAGAGCCUCAAGAAGUCCGCUAAAAAUUCUACGGCAGGCAAGCUCAGCUCAACCAAUUUGUCAACCAAUCCAAAAAAUUUAACCAUCUCACCCUUAUCAGCAUAGCAAACUAGUAACUGUGAAACAGUCUCAGAGCUUGGCACUAGCUCCUCCUGAAGGACAAUCUGAAACAUCUUAUGUGCCUUAUCCUCCCGACCUAUACCACACAGACCGCCAAUGAGUAUGUUGUAUGUUUUGAGGUCAGCGCGGUAGCCAGCAUCCACCAUCUCCUUCAAAAUCCUACAGCCAUCCCCAACCCUCCCAGCAGCAACAUACCCAUGGACGAGUGAUGCAUACACGAUCCUGUCAACCAACAACCCCUUUCUCCUCAUCUCCUCAAACAAUUUAGCUGCUUUCUCUACAAUCCCAGCGUUGCAUAGCCCCUCAACCAUUGUAGCAUAUGCCAUUGUGUCUGGCUCCACACCAUCUCUCCCCAUCUCCUCCCACACUCUGAUGCAACCCUCCAUGUGCCCCCUGCGCACCAUCGUCUUGACCAGAGCGGUGUACACAAACACAUCCGGCCGGCACACCUCAUCACGCAUCCUCCCAAUCAUCUCUAGGAUCCUCUCCGCCAUCCCUUCCUGGCCCAGAGCACGCACAAUGAUCGCAAAUGUGACCGGCAUAGGCCUGAUGCCACUUUCUGCCAUUUCAUCGAACAGCUUGAGCGCAUCCUCGACAUGCCCUGCCGCAGUCAAAGCGCCGAGGACACGGUUGCAGACGUGGACCUGCGGCUGAACAGAGAACUCAUGUCGAAACCGGCGGAGCGUGUAGAGCGCACGGAGGGGGCGGCGUGCAGCGGUGUGAAGCCGGACGAGGAGUGUGAGCUGAGGGUGAGAGACGGGCUUCCCGUGGGAGCGAAUGAGGUCGGGAAGCUGAUCGGCGGCAGCAGGGAGGCCUGCAGCGGAGAGGAGGGAGGCGAGAGCGUGAAACGCAGGGAAGCAGUGUCGGAAGCCCUUCUGGCGGCCGGCCCAGUGGAAGAAGGGGAGGGCGAGCGGGGGAGGUGGUGGCGGGUGCGCGCUGAGGACCUCAGCCACGAGGGUGGGUGGUACGCGGCGGAGCUUGGACAGGUCGGCGACGACGGGAGGGCCCCAGCGCUGGUGUCGGCGGAGGGCGUCGAGUAAGAAUCGCGCGAGCGGGGAGAGACGGCGGGAAGAGGCAGAUGUGGAAUGCGACGGAGUCGGCGACGAGCGAGGGGAGUGAGAUGGGGAGGAGGGGUCCCAGUCAGGGAGGUGGAAAGGGGCGGUGGUUGCGGCGGGCGAAGGGGAGGGGGAGGAGCGGGGUCCAGGAGAGGUGGCGCGGAGGUGGGUGAUGAGACCGCCAUGGACGGUGGGGCGGUACGGGGACGCGCGGCGGUGGCCAUGGUAGAUCGUGUGCCUGCGGCGGCGGUCAGCCGGACCGGCAGGGGAUAACGGAGAGGUCAUUGUGCGGUGGCACGCCGCAAGGCAGCCGCAGCGCCGUCGCGAGGAGCUUGAGCAGAGGAAGCCGGCGUAGGGGGCGGGACUGGAUCUGUCUCUCCUUGUCCUCUUCUUCGUCAACAGUACUGCUCCGCCGAACGCGGAGGUAAAAGAGAAAUGCGUUUACAACGCGUCGAUCGUCUGUUUUGACGUGACUCCAGCCGCCACUGUAAACUUUAGCACCCGUGUAGCUUCAACAAAUGCGUUAAAAUACAGCGCGCGCUCUCGCAUAAAAAACAUAUGCGCUCAAAACACAAUCAAAAAGAUCAAACACAAACAAAAUAAAUCAAUAGAAAUAGUUCAAUUUCGUUAUUACAACUCAAACAAAUAGUUUAUCUUUCAAUACAACAAAUAGUUCAACAAUACAACAUCAAAUGCACAAAUCAUGAUGCUCUUUGUCAGUCAUUCCAUGCCCCCCACUCCUCAAUGAUCCUUCUGAAGAUUAUCAUGCGUUUCGGCACGCCGAAUGGCAUGAUAGGAGGCAACAAAACAGGCCAUCCUUUCAGCCCCCUGCCGCACUCGCACGGGAUGUCCCAAAAGCUCAUAGUGAGAGUAGUCUAAAUCUUGGCCACGCUCAUUCUCGAUGAUCAUAUUGUGCAUGAUCACACAAGCAUGCAUGAUGUACCAAAGCAUCUUUUGAUCUCAAAAUCUAGCCGGCCCUCUCACAAUAGCAAAUUGGGCUUGCAAAAUCCAAAAAGUUCUCUCCACAUCUUUUCUAACCGCCGCCUGAGCAUUGUGAAAAUCAAGAAUUUCUUACCUUUCGGGUUUUUCAACAGCUUCACAAAUGUUUGUCACUUUGGGUAGAUGCCAUCCGCAAGAUAGUAGCCAUAGUUGUAUGUACGACCAUUUGCUACAAACUGCACCGGUGGCAGUUCACCAUUUGCAAUCUUAUUUAUCAGUGAUGACCGUUUGAUAACGUUAAUGUCAUUCAAAGAUCCAGGUAUUUCAAAUAAAGCAUGUCAAAUCUAAGUCUCUUGAUCGGCCAUCGCUUCAAGGAUUAUAGUGGAACCUUUUUUUUUUGCCGUGGAAUUACCCAUGCCGUGCCUUAGGAUAAUUUUUUCAACUUCAAUGCAUGCAAUCUAUUGAGCCAAGCAUACCUGGGAAGCCACGAGCUUUGUUCAUCUCCAAUAGCCUUGCGGCGUCUUCAACAUUGGGAGAUCUCAAAUACUCCUGGUCAAACACUUGCACAAUUCCAACCGCGAAUCGCUUGACACACAUGAUGGCUUGACUCUCACCCAUGGCCAAGUGAUCAUCAACUAGAUCAACGUGGAUACCGUAUGCCAACAUACGCAAAGCGGCUGUCACCUUCUGAAAGGUGUUAUGCCCGAGCUCUCCGGCGGCAUUCCUCCUUUGCUGAAAAUCCCGGUCAUGGCUCGCUAGUUUCUCUGCAAUGCGCCUGAACAACUCGGUGCUCAUCCUAAACCGGCACCGGAAGUACGACUCGAGGUACACGGGAUUAUCCAUAAAAAAGUGCCUGAUCAAUCUGUUGUGGGCAUCGAUCAUAUCCCUCCAAAUUUUCUGCCGACCCAUAACCGAACCACCGUGCUUCGGUUUUUUAUUGAUGUGCAUAGCUAGGAUCAUUGCGAGAUCCUCCUCCCCUUCCAUAUCAAAUUCUUCUUCGGAAGAAUCAUAUGACGAACUCAUCUAAAAUGUUCAAUUUAAACUAGGCUAUAAAAACUACAAACAACAUGCAACAAAUUCAUGUAAAAGAUGUGAAGUUGAAGCAAUACAUACCUUGCGGGCGUUUUGUCGAACACCUUGCGGGCGCCGAGCAGCAGUGGGCGGCUGGGUGCCGUUUGUCGGAGAACUGCCGCGCGCGAGGGGCGGCGGUGACUAGAGGAAGACGGAGG